rnacentral:lncRNA from 1 species
AUCGAUGAGGUGUCGAGCCCCCAGAUGGCUAAGUAGCUCUCGCUAGAUACGUGGCGACGCGUCAGAAGACAUAUUAUGACCAGUUCACACCCGUCCAGAGGCGUGUCAAGACACCAAGCCAUGGCCAACUAAUAGGUGGCAGGAGCUUGCGGGGAAAACACCCCCGCUGGCCACCUAAGGUUGCAUUUGUAGCACUUUGUCUUAAGUGCCAGAGUUAGGUAUGAUAGCACUGUUAGCUAUCUAAUCAUAUCUGUUUGCCAUUGUGGACGCCCCUUGCGCUAUAAAAGGAGCCCCAAGGCAACGUAGCAAAUGAUUCGACACUCUGAGGAUUCGGACCCACGGGAUUUAGGACUCAAGAGUAUUUACACACAGUAGUUCUCCGUGGCAACCCUUGGCGGGGCAGAACACAGUGUAAACUAUGUCUUCCCCAAAUCAAACCACCAAAGAAGGAGGAGGGUUUUACGCUUCUCAGCAGCCUGAACCUGGGUAAACGCUUGAGUCUCAUCAUCGUGUAACCUCGAAGUUUCUGCUCUUUGUGCAUCAUGAUCUCCCCGCCGAACCACGAAGGGGCCAAUGGUCCCAUAGGUGAUCGAGUGCACACACCUGCCUCGACACUUGGGCGCCUCAAGCAGAAGGUUCAGGAUAUGGGAGACCUCAUGGAUGUCUUUACCAGGUAUGCUAAGUAUGAUAGCACCAAAGAUCCCGGCUCAGAAGAGGAUAAAUCUCGCAAGGGGAAGAAGCAUGACAACUACAAAGGUCACCAGCAACACAAUUCUAGGCAUGAGGGAAAUCAAAAUAACCAGGGCAAUGGUGGAAAACGCAAGCAUCUAGAUGGCGGGUCCGAUUUUAUUGCUAAUGCCAACACUGGUUUGAAAAACCAAUGACGAAACAACAACUCUGGCAGAGUUUAUAUCAGGGAGCCACACAAUUAAGAAGAAGCGCUCAAGGCUCCUUGUCCGAAGCAAAGUUUCCCCGAUAAGCCUUCCACUCACUCGUGGGAAAAUUGCCACUUUAUGCAGGCGUUCCACAAUCAAGUUUUCCAAAACUUUCAAGGAGGCAAUGGUGGCGGCAAUACAGGUCAUCCUGACAGGUUUAGUGGCGGCUCAUCUGGGGGCUUAGCAGGUCCAAACUGCCAUGGAUUAGGCAGCUCAAGCGCGGGUUAUCGAGACUGUGGCCAUAACCACAAUGGGUAGGAACGCUCGGGACAAGGAAAUCGGCAGCAUGAUAACCAAGCAGGUUUUCAAAGUAAUCCCAAGUAAUUGAGGAGCGGACAAUAUGGUGUGUUCACCACGAGUACUUACAGGCGGGAGAGUAAGGUUAAAAAGAGGGCCAUCAAUAUGGUCGAGCCGACAACCCCCACGUAUUUGAAUUGGUCUGAAUACCCAAUCACAUGGAGCAGAGAGGAUCAUCCAGAUCGGGUUGAUAAUAUGGGUGGUCCGGCUCUAUUGGUGGCACCUCAGGUGGGAGGUUAUAUUCUCAACAAAGUUCUCAUGGACGGAGGAAGCAGCAUCAACAUCUUAUAAUAUGACACCUUCCGACGCAUGAACCUUUCUAAGGACAAGUUACACCCAUCUUCUACACUCUNNNNNNNNNNNNNNNNNNNNNNNNNNNNNCACUCUUUCGUGGAAUCAUUCCUGGAAAACCUGCAUAUAUAAUUGGCCGGAUCAAACUAGAUGUUGCAUUUGGCUCAGAGUUCAAUUAUAGAUGUGAAUCUCUGAUGUUUGAGGUGGUCAAAAUUAAGAGACCAUAUCAUGCUCUUUUAGGACGGUCGGCUUAUUCUUAGUUCACGCUUGUCCCUAUUACAUCUAUCUCAAGCUUAAUAUGCCAGGGAAGCAUGGUACCAUCACAGUCGAUAGGAGUCGAAAACUCGCCUAGGAGUGCGAGGAAGGAGAUGCAGCUUUUAUGGAGUCAGAUUGUGCUGCAGAGGAAUUAAAGUACUAUAAAGCCAAUGUUGACCUAGCUGACAUGACUUCUCUUAAGAAGCCCACCACAUAAUCUGAACCCGCCUUGAAGUUUAAGCCGGGUGAGGAUACCAAGCAGGUGGAUUUCACUCCUGGUGAUUCUUCCCAGCAGUUCACUAUUGGGACAGGGCUGGAUCCCAAAUAGGAAAGCGCGCUCAUCGAGUUCAUCCGUGAGAAUCGGACAUCUUUGCAUGGGAACCUUCUGACAUGUCUGGUAUACCGAGGGAACUCGCUGAGCACCAUCUUAAUGUUGAUCUAAAUUGAAACAUGUUCGUCAAUUCCUCCAUCAUUUUAACAAGGAGAGGCGCAAAGCUAUUGGUGAAGAAGUAGCACGACUCCUAACUGUCGGGUUCAUUUUUGAAGUUUUCCACCCAGAGUGGUUGGCAAAACUAGUGAUUUUUUUGAAAAAGAACGACACUUGCCAUAUGUGUGUUGAUUACAAAUAUCUUAACAAGGCCUGCCCCAAGGAUCCGUUUGCUAUUCCUUGCAUUGUUCAGAUGAUUCACUCCACAACCGGAUUUGAGCGUCUGUGUUUUCCGGAUGCUUAUUCUGGUUAUCAUCAGAUCAAGAUGGUUGUCGAGGAUCAAGAGAAGACGACUUUCAUCACCCUUUUUGGCACUUUCUACUAUGUCUCUAUGCCUUUUGGGUUUAAGAGCACGGGGGCUACUAAUAAACUUGUGUUCGAAACUGUUUACACAACCAAAUUGGGCGCGACAUUCAUGGUUAUGUCGAUGGUAUUGUGGUUAAGUCCUAGAAGAAAGAGACUCUACUAAAUGACUUCAAGGAAACAUUGAACAACCUUCGUAUAUACAAGAUGAAACUUAACCUGACCAAAUGUGUCUUUUGAGUACUGAUACGUCCCAAACGUAUCCAUAAUUUUUGCUUGUGUCAUACUUGUUUUGCAUCAUUGUCUCAUGUUUCUAUUACUUUUACAUCUUUUUAAGCAUUUAUUUGGACUAACCUAGUAAUGGUUGCAAAAGUUCACAAUGUUCUUGUUUAACACCUUGGUGUGUAUGAAUUACUUGGAAAUUGACAAAAAUGCAAAAGUACUCGUAUUGGAGUAAGACUCUGACUUUCCUGAAAGCUGUCCCCCCUACAGAUUUUAGAGAUCGUCUGUUUCCACCCUGUAGACCUGUUUUACUAAAGAGCAAAAUCUGAUUACGGGAAUCCGAAAUAUUGUGAUGUGAUUGACUCCAACUCUUUCCAAACUUGGGGGAUUCGGCCAAGCCACGACUUUGGGGCCUCAUUAGGGCUGAGAGGACUCCCAAGGAAGGUUUUAGAGGUGCCCAAGAGCCCUUGGAUCAAAGGGGCAUCCAUCGGAGGGCCAAGGAUGAUCGUCCCAGCUCAUACAAGGAGAGGAAAACCCUGAUUUAUGGAGAGCCACCAAGAGCCAGGAAAUUUCCUCCUCCCAGACAGCUGCCUUGGGGUGGAGAACCACCUCCAUACCAGCACCAUCUCGAAGGAAGAAGGGGGGCCAAGGGUCGUGGCCGCCGUCUCCUCUCCGGGCUGCACCUCUCCAUCAACCUCUUGCUCACCGUGGCCAUGUGUGAGUAGUCUCCCUCGGGGCUGAGGGCUCUACAUGUAGCUAUGUGGUUAUCUCUCUCUCCCAUGAUGUGAUCUUGAUUGUGAUCACAGGCUAAGUUAAUCUAGGGUGAUACCAUGAUGUUUCCCCUUGUACUAUGUAUUCGAUUGACGUACUCACUUAAUCUUAUCUAUUAUAAUCUCCGAGACCAUGGUGACAACGGUCUAUUAGACAUGGAUUAGAAGAAUAUUUUCAUAAGUGAUUUCCUAUUUUGUGAAUUGAUUGAAGAUUGAGAGUCUCUUGGUGCUUGUCUUUGACUAUCCUUGAGAUAUGUUGUGGUGAUUGUGGUACUCUCUUUGGAUGGCCGCAGUCACAUUGGAAAAUCCAUAGAUGAGAACUACGAACUCUAAGGUGUGCUUUUGUAGCCCUACAUAAUUCUCGUCCUCUCUUGAUCACAAAGGAAUGACCUCCGAGUAUGUCUCCAUUGCAUGUUUUAGUGGAAAUAUCAUGUGAUUAGAUUAUAUUAAUGUUGUUGGGAGUUGCCACCAGUGAAAGUAUGAAGCCUAGGCCUUGUUUUCCACCAUUGAACACCGUUUACUUUUAGUUUUUUUUCAUGUUUGCUUGCUGCCAUUUUUAUUUCAGACUUACAAUACCUUGUUUUACCAUCCAUAUCACUUGCCUUUUAACAUCUCUUCGCCGAACUAGUGCGCCUAUACAACUGACAAUUGUAUUAGGUGUGUUGGGGACACAAGAGACUUCUUGUAUCUUAAUUGCAGGGUUGCUUGAGAGACACCAUCUUCAACCUCUACUUCCCUGCCUUUGAUAAACCUUAGGUCAUCCACUUGAGGGAAAUUGCUGCUGUCCUACAAACCUCUGCGCUUGGAGGCCCAACAUAGUCUACAAGACUAGAAGCGUGCGUAGACAUCAAGUACGUGCACGCAAGUUACUAGGAUUCUUGGUUUCGAAGCGUGGCAUUGAACCUAACCUGGAGAAAAUCAAGGCGGUGACUUCUCUAUCUAAGCCACCAAACAUAAGUGGUGUCUAGUGCAUGGCGGGUCGUAUAGGAGUGAUCCAGUCAUUUCGCAUCAUGAAUUACUAUUGAUAUUUGUCUUGAUCAUGUCCAUUAUCCAUAAUUAUCACACAAUUAUUAUGCCUUUUCUCUCUGAAUAUGCAAGAUACAUCACUGAGAGGGAAAUAUGUGGAAACUAGAAUUUUGGACCGGGAAACCGAGAAAAAGGCAGAAAAAACAACUUGGUCCAAAUGACCAGAAACUUUAUAGAGAUUGUUUUUGCAAUAUUUGAGAAAGUAUGGACCAAAACUAUACCGGAGAGGGGCCACCAGCUCGACGCAAGCCAACAGGGCGCCCCCUGGCCGCGCCCUGAUGGCUUGUGGGGCCCCAGAUGGCCCUCUCGUGACCAUAUUCUCCUAUAUGGUGUGUUUUACCUGAGAAAAAUCAUAAGUGUCUUUAAGGACGAAGCACCGCCAUCUGGAAGCAGAAACCUAGGCACAUGCCCUUUUGCUCCGUGGCACAGAGAUUCUGUUGGGGGAAUUUCCCUUCGGCAGGAGGAAAUUGAAGCCAUCAUCAUCACCAACGCAACCUCCUUCAUGGGUGUAACGACCAAACCUCGAAGGAUUUAAGCCUCUGUGCUUUACUGUGCUAGUCCCUGGAUCGACUCGCUAGCACACACAAUAUAGAUGAAAACCAGAAUAGCAAGUGCAUCAUUUAUAAUAACGUAUGAUCCAGAAUUUAUAAAUAACAAUCUGCAUAGCACUUAGCUAGCUUUAUUCUAAUAAACAGCGGAAAAGUAGCAGAAUAAUAACGAUGAGUCCCAUCAUAGCCCACUGGCGAUGUUGAGUGAAGACUCGCGACCCUAACGGUAACUUACUCCUCGUCUGAAUAUCCUGCAACAUGAUACGUUGCAGCCAUAUAGGUCAAUACUUUGAAUGUAUUGGCAAGUUACACAAGAAAAGAUAAUAUAACAGACCUAAAUGUAUAUGCAUAGUAUAACAAAAGAAAGGCUGAUGGUUAUUUGCAGAAAGCUGAUUUUAUCCUCAUAGCUACCUAAUAGUCAAGUUUUAAAUCUGUUUGCUACAAUAACUCACAUAUGGUUGAUUUGGCAUCUCCAACUCCAACCUAUUACCAUUAUUAAGUUUCCCGUCAAAUUUUAUUAAGUGUGUCAUCUGUCAAGAUCAUCCAACAACUGUAAUGGCCUAACUGCUCAAAAUUGUCCAUAACCGGGGACACGGCUAAUCAUGAUUAGUUUAUACACUUUGUAGAGGUUAGUACGUUGUACCCACUGGACCCAACCCGAAGAUUGAGACGAAGUCUUUCAGAAGCAGUCACCUAGUCCCACAGGAGGCCCAUCCCACCUAUCAUAGCUACAUCAGCUGGCACAUCCGGGUAAGGUUUCCACGACUGAUCAACUAAGCUAGAGCCCAUAAUAGCCAGUGGUCGCACAAGGAAGCUACUAGUCACUAAGUCUGUUUGAUCUUUUUGAACCUGGGCGGCAUCCACUUACAUUCAGAGGGUAGAAACCAUGAUGUUCUUGAAACCACCCAGCAAUACCAUAUCCGCCCAGAGGUGUAUUAUAUCCUGAAUUACUACUCAAUUUAUUUUGUAGUAAUCCUCACAUAAUCUCAAUGAAUACAGGAACCAAUCCCCGUCUACAUAGCAUAGCAAAACUACAAAUACCACAAUCUUCAAUGACGAGGGGAUAUAGCUCAAUAACAUAGCAAUGAUAAUAUUCCUAUACAUGCAUAAUUUUCAUAGGGUGAUAUAAUACUACAUGCAUAGAAAAAAAUAAUAGGUAAAGGAUGAUCAACAUGUAACUUGCCUUGAUUCUGGUUCAGAAAGUCACACUCCUGACAAUAGUUUGCGUCGCACUCCGCACAAUCUACACGUUGCAAACAAUCACACCAAUCAAUCACCACAAUCACAUAACACCAAAUAAAACCAUCGGCAAUAAAACAACUUGUUUUAAAACCAAAGCAUAAAUAGCAUGGCAGCAGGUAUAAAAUCAUCUACAUGCUGAUACGAUGACAACGCAAAAAUAAUCAACUAAAUCAGAUUUACGGUUUGCAAAAUAUGGCCUCCGGUAGGUUUAAAAUAAUCUGUUUUAACAAAAAAAUAAAUUUUCGUAAAACUGAAAACUACUGGUUCUAACAUGUUCUACUCAUUAAUACGAGAUCACGGGAAAAAUAAUUUCCUGAAUCGGAGUUACGAGUAAAAAGAUAAACGCGUUUCAAAAUUAUACUGAGAAUCUGACAGAGCUAAAAACAGAUUAAAAACAGAUUGAAUUUCGUCCUGAAGCUGUUCAUCAGGACUUGAUGAAUCGCUCGUGCGUGCGUUCUCACCACGAACAGCGGGGAAAAACGGAACCGUCUCGGUGUGGCUCCCCCGAUGGUGCUCCGAUGGCGGUCGAACGGACUUCGAUGACGGCGGCUCCGCGAACUCCGACGAACACGGACGAACUCGGACGUGCGCGGCGUUGCUCCGCGGUGCUCGAGGCUGCUGCGUGUGCGAGGCGGUGGCGCUGUGCGUGCGAGACGACGGUGCUGUGCGAAUCGGGAGCAAGGGCUUCGGUUCGUGGGGCUUUAUUCCCUCGCGAGGAAAAGUACCUGGUGAUGUGCGCGCGUACUGCUCCGAGUCCAGCUCGCGGUAGGAGUCCUGGCGAAGAGUCCGGCUCCUGGCUCGAUGGGAAACAUGUUUUCCCUGGUCAAUGCAUGGGCACGUGGGGCACAUGGCCUCGUGAGCAGCCCUGGCUCGUGGUGCUGGGCACAUGUGGCCUCGGUCCUNNNNNNNNNNNNNNNNNNNNNNNNNNNNNNNNNNNNNNNNNNNNNNNNNNNNNNNNNNNNNNNNNNNNNNNNNNNNNNNNNNNNNNNNNNNNNNNNNNNNAAACGUCUUUGGAGCCCCGUUUCUAAACUGUAUAACAUGCCACACCUAACCAGAGAGUAGUCAUCAUUCCGCGCUUGCCAGACGUUUAGAACGUCCUGGGCUGCUGCGGGAGCGGGAGGGUCACCUAGCGGCGCAUUAAGGACAUAAGCCUUUUAGCUGCUUCAAGGAUGAGCUUCACGUUGCGAACCCAGUCCGCAUAGUUGCUACCAUCAUCUUUCAGCUUGUUUUUCUCUAGGAAUGCGUUGAAGUUGAGGUUGACGUUGGACAUCUACAAUAUUUAUAAAGACAACUUUUAGACUAAGUUCAUGACAAUUAAGUUCAUUUAAUCAAAUUAAGUAUGAACUCCCACUUAAAUCGACAUCCCUCUAGUCAUCUAAGUGAUACAUGAUCCAUGUUGACUAACCCGUGUCCGAUCAUCACGUGAGACGGACUAGUCACCAUGGUGAGCAACUUCAUGCUGAUCGUAUUCAACCAUACGACUCAUGUUCGACCUUUCUGUCUCUUGUAUUCGAGGUCAUGUCUGUACAUGCUAAGCUCGUCGAGUCAACCUAAGUGUUUUGCAUGUGUAAAUCUGGCUUACACCCGUUGUAUGCGAACGUUAGAAUCUAUCACACCCGAUCAUCACGUGGUGCUUCGAGACAACGAACCUUCGCAACGGUGCACACUUAGGGGAAUACGUUCUCGAAAUUUUAGGAGGGAUCAUCUUAUUAUGCUACCGUCGUUUUAAGCAAUAAGAUGUAAAACAUGAUAAACAUCACAAUGCAAUCAUAUAGUGACAUGAUAUGGCCAUUAUCAUCUUUGCUCAUUCGAUCUCCAUCUUCAGGCAUCGCAUGAUCAUCAUCGUCACCGGCGUGACACCAUGAUCUCCAUCAUCAUGAUCUCCAUCAUCGUGUCUCCGUGAAGUCGUCACGCCAACUACUACUAUCACUACUACUAUCACUACUACUAUCACUACUACUAUGGCUAACCGUUCGCAAUGAAGUAAAAGUAGCAAGCACAUGGCGUUGCAUCUCAUACAAUAAAUUAAGACAACUCCUAUGGCUCCUGCCGGUUGUCAUACUCAUCGACAUGCAAGUCGUGAAACCUAUUACAAUAACAUGAUCAUCUCAUACAUCAUACAUGCAACAUCACAACUUUGGCCAUAUCACAUCACAUGUCAAACCCUGCAAAAACAAGUUAGACGUCCUCUAAUUGUUGUUGCAAGUUUUACGUGGCUGAUUUGGGUUUCUAGCAAGAACGCCUUCUUACCUACGUGACAGCCACAACAAUGAUAUGCCAAAGCUAUUUACCCUUCAUAAGGACCCUUUUCAUCCAAUCCGACUAGAGUAGGAGAGACAGACACCCGCUAGCCACCUUUAUGCACGAUGUGCAUGUUUGUCGGUGGAACCAGUCUCACGUAAGAGUACGUGUAAGGUCGGUCCGGGCCGCUUCAUCCCACAAUACCGCCGGAAAAGAAUAAGACUAGUAACGGCAAGCAAAUUGACAAACCAUCGCCCACAACUUUUGUGUUCUACUCGUGCAUAGAAUCUACGCAUAGAAAACCUGGCUCGGAUGCCACUGUUGGGGUAACGUAGCAUAAAUUCAAAAAAUUUCCUACGCAUGUUCAGAUCUUCCUAUUGAGAGACCAGCAACGAGAGAGGGGUAAGAGCAUCUUCGUACCUUUGANNNNNNNNNNNNNNNNNNNNNNNNNNNNNNNNNNNNNNNNNNNNNNNNNNNNNNNNNNNNNNNNNNNNNNNNNNNNNNNNNNNNNNNNNNNNNNNNNNNNGCUAUCAUUUUGGGGAUACGCAUUAGAAACUGCAGCAUUCACUUUAAAUAGGGCACCGUCUAAAUCCGUUGAGACGACACCGUAUGAACUAUGGUUUGGCAAGAAACCUAAGUUGUCGUUUCUUAAAGUUUGGGGCUGCGAUGCUUAUGUGAAGAAACUUCAACCAGAAAAGCUCGAACCCAAAGCGGAGAAAUGCGUAUUCAUAGGAUACCCUAAGGAAACUAUUGGGUAUACCUUCUAUCUUAGAUCCGAAGGUAAAACCUUUGUUGCCAAGAACGGAUCCUUUCUAGAGAAAGAGUUUCUCUCGAAAGAAGUAAGUGGGAGGAAGGUAGAACUUGAUGAGGUAAUUACACCCCCUCUCGAACAGGAAAGUAGCGCAACGCAAGAAGUUGUUCCUGUGGUGCCUACACCAACUGAAGAGGAAGUUAAUGAUGAUGAUCAUGAAGCUUCGGAUCAAGUUACUACUGAACCGCGAAGGUCCACAAGGGUACGCUCCGCACCAGAGUGGUACGGCAACCCAGUGAUGGAAAUCAUGUUGUUAGACAACGGUGAACCUUCGAACUAUGAAGAAGCGAUGGCGGGCCCGGAUUCCAACAAAUGGCUUGAGGCCAUGAAAUCCGAGAUAGGAUCCAUGUAUGAGAACAAAGUAUGGACUUUGGUGGACUUGCCCGAUGAACGACGAGCCAUAGAAAAUAAAUGGAUCUUCAAGAAGAAGACUGAUGCAAACGGUAAUGUAACCGUUUACAAAGCUCGACUUGUCGCAAAGGGUUUUCGACAAAUUCAAGGAGUUGACUACGAAGAGACUUUCUCUCCCGUAGCGAAGCUGAAAUCAGUCCGAAUCAUGUUAGCAAUUGCCGCCUUUUAUGAUUAUGAAAUUUGGCAAAUGGACGUCAAAACAGCGUUCCUUAACGGGAACCUUAAGGAAGAGUUGUAUAUGAUGCAACCAGAAGGUUUUGUCGAUCCUAAAGGUGCUAACAAAGUAUGCAAGCUCCAGUGCUCCAUCUAUGGGCUGGUGCAAGCAUCUCGGAGUUGGAACAUUCGCUUUAAUGAGGUGAUUAAAGCGUUUGGGUUCAUACAGGUUUACGGAGAAGCCUGUCUGUACAAGAAAGUGAGUGGGAGCUCUGUAGCUUUCCUCGUACUAUAUGUAGAUGACAUAUUAUUGAUGGGGAAUGAUAUAGAGAUGUUGAAGAGCAUAAAGGCCUAUUUGAACAAGAGUUUUUCAAUGAAGGACCUUGGAGAAGCUGCAUACAUAUUAGGCAUCAAGAUCUAUAGAGAUAGAUCGAGACGCCUCAUAGGUCUUUCGCAAAGUACAUACCUUGACAAGAUACUGAAGAAGUUCAAUAUGGAAAACUCAAAGAAAGGGUUCUUGCCAGUUUUGCAAGGUAUGAGAUUGAGUAAGACUCAAUCGCCGACCACGGCAACAGAUAGAGAGAAGAUGAGUUCUGUCCCCUACGCUUCAGCCGUGGGCUCUCUAAUGUAUGCCAUGCUGUGUACCAGACCUGAUAUAAACCUUGCGAUAAGCUUGGUAGGGAGGUACCAAAGUAAUCCCGGUGCAGAACACUGGACAGCGGUCAAGAAUAUCCUUAAGUACCUGAAAAGGACUAAGGAAAUGUUUCUCGUUUAUGGAGGUGACGAAGAGCUCUUCGUAAAGGGUUACGUCGAUGCUAGCUUCGACACAGAUCCGGAUGACUCUAAGUCACAAACCGGAUACGUAUAUGUGUUGAAUGGUGGGGCAGUGAGCUGGUGCAGCAGCAAGCAAGAAGUCGUGGCAGCAUCUACAUGUGAAGCGGAGUACAUAGCUGCUUCAGAAGCGGCUCAUGAAGGAAUUUGGAUGAAGGAGCUCAUCACCGACCUUGGAGUGGUUCCAAGCGCGUCGGGUCCUAUGACACUCUACUGUGAUAACACUGGAGCCAUUGCCAUAGCCAAAGAGCCCAGGUUUCACCGGAAGACGAAGCACAUCAAGCGCCGCUACAACUCCAUCCAGGACCAUGUCCAAACUGGAGUGAUAGAUAUUUGUAAAGUACACACGGAUCUGAAUAUUGCAGACCCGUUGACUAAACCUCUUCCACGAGCAAAACAUGAUCAGCACCAUAAUGCUAUGGGUGUUCGAUACAUCACAAUGUAACUAGAUUAUUGUCUCUAGUGCAAGUGGGAGACUGUUGGAAAUAUGCCCUAGAGGCAAUAAUAAAAUGGUUAUUAUCAUAUUUCCUUGUUCAUGAUAAUCGUCUAUCGUUCAUGCUAUNNNNNNNNNNNNNNNNNNNNNNNNNNNNNNNNNNNNNNNNNNNNNNNNNNNNNNNNNNNNNNNNNNNNNNNNNNNNNNNNNNNNNNNNNNNNNNNNNNNNCCUGAGGAAUUUCUCCUUUCUGGCCUUUGCAAUCUUUGCCUGCUUGGACUUCUGUUCCUUCCACUUGGCUUCAUUUAUGAAAGUAGCCACCAUGUGGCUGACACCAGGAGGAAGUUUCAAAUCAUCAAUGGGUGUGUUUGGGUCUUCAUACCACACAUUGAUGAAAUCGAGGAGGACCUUGGGGUCCAUUGCCAGAGGAAUAGCACUGCCUGAUGCUUGUGCUACCCUUUCUUGCUUGUUCCUGAUGAUGGCUUCCAGAGUUUCAUCAUCAUAUUCUUCACUUCCCUCUGAUGCAGACGGGACUGUGAUGAUUUUGCUUGGGCUGGGCAGAGGUGCAGGUUCAGUAGUAGCCAAAGUCUUCACAUGGGGAGUUGAAGACUUUGUCUCCGAGCUAGUUGCAGCUGGGAGUGAGGAGCUGGAGCUGGCAGUCGUAGUCUUCACGACUUUCUUCUGUACUAGCUUUGGAGGUGGAGCUGAGGACUUUGGUGUGGAUGCGAUUGGUGCUGAGGGUUUUGGCGCUGAUGGUUUUGGUGUGGACGGUUUUGGAACCGAGGGUUUUGGAGCUGAGGGUUUGGUGACUGAAGUGUGUGCAAGCUUCUCUUGGGGCUUUGAAGCUUUUGGCUUUGUUGGCACAGACUUUGGUUGAGGAAUUUCGGAGCCUGAGGUUUCUGCUGCUGAGGAAUGAGCAGCACCGGAGGCAGCAGCUGAAGAUUCAUGAAAUUUCUUCACUGUUGUUUCUGCUUGCUUCUUGAGCUUGGCCAGAUGCCUUUCUUUUUCCUGUGGGUAGUCAUCAAGUGUCAUAAGACUUGAGGGAUGAGCAACUUGAUGAUCCUCAAGCGGGGCCCUUCUGCCAGGAGGCUUCAAAGCGAAUUUCUUCGCAUAUUUUGGAGUCACAAACCUGUACUCCUUCCACUCCUUUGCCCAUCUGCGUUCAAUUUUCUGCAGCCUAAUCUUCCUUUUAGGCAUAGUCUCAGGUUCAUCAUCAGGCGUGCAGUAGUCCAGGUAUAUGUCAUCAAGAAUGUCCACAGCUGUGUUCUGUUCCAUUUUCUUUCCUCCCCUCUGUUUCCUUUCUUCCUCCAUUUUCUUCAGACGAGGAACUAUCUGAGGAUUUUGAACUCUUGAGGAUUCUGAUGAGCCUUGAAGAGUUUCUUCCAGAAACGCUGCAAAUGAGUUAAUGUGAUGAGAACCGAGAGAUUCAUCAGCUGACAUGUGUGUACCUGUGAACAGAGUAUAGUUGCGAGGAAUUUGGAGAGGUCAUAUGCGUUCUCAGAUUUGAAGAAAAUGGAAAAGUUUGACAGUUUGAGGAAUAUAACCAGUGGUUGAGGAAUUUGCUUAAGCAUUCUGUUCUUGGGUUCCAGAGUUGUACAGAUCCGAAAAUUCGCACAAUUGAGGAAUCUCGUGAAAAUCUUAGAUGCUUAGCUAGUUCAUCAAUGAUUGUGGUGAUGGAUAGUGUUUGAGGAAUCAUGUGCGCAUCGUAUCUUGAGGAAAAACAUAUUUCACAUUGGAGAGGUAAGAUUUUAGAUCUAAUCUGUUGUAAAAAUGGGAUAUAUUUAACCUGGAAGGUGCGAACGAAGAACACAAAAAGGUGGCGUUGGAGAGGCUCUUCGGUCAAGUGUCCAAUGCACCCUAACUUGGCAGCAGAGGACGUCUACGGCGGCGGCGGACGUAGAUGUUCCGUCUCCGGCGUGAUCCUGGCGGCGAGAAGGUUGAGGCAGUGAAGCUCUUCCUUGCCGGCGUCAAGACUUCCAGCGGUGGCGCUAGGGUUCGGUGUGCUGUGGCAGGAGAGUGACGAGGCGAAGAAGAUGAUACCGAGGGGGUUAAGGACAUAUUUAUAGCCCGAAAGUUACUGUUUGGCACGAAAGUUUUGCACCGAAUAGCCCUUGCCUCUACGUCUCCGCAGGACACGUGUAGCUCCCGUAUGAUGCGGUGGAGAUAGUGGAGAUCGUGGCUAUCCAAUCGUGGGAAGUGGGGGUUCAGUUACUGUUCCUUUGAAGAAAACAAUUUUUCGAAGAUUUGAGGAUUUUCGUUACAAAAUCAUCAGCUGGCAAGGAUGCAGUGAGGAUUUUGAACAAAGUUUCAAGUAGAACGCAUAUGAAGAAUUGAAUAGACUCGAUAAGUAAGCAUAGAGGGAAAAUAGGGUCCGAUCACAUUCACUUAGCAGAAACAUCAACUUGAAGAAAUAGCAAUAAGUGAAUGCUGUUGAGGACUAGUAAUCACAGUCUACCUAGGCAAAUGAAAGUCAUCAAGUGUUUUUGAAGAUUUUGCAAUAGAUCAUCACAAUUAAGAACAGUUGUUUUGAAGAAAAAUGCACUGUGAGGAAUUUGAUCAUUUGAAGAAAAUCAACUUGAGGAAUUUCACAUUGGGCGGUGGCGUUGCGCACCAUAUAAGAAUGUUGAUUACAGACGCCGCGUACAAUUGUCGUAGGGCCCUGAGAAUCAAUUUCUUUGUUAAUUUCUUCACAUUCAGAGUGACUUUCUUCAUCGUUUGAAGAAAAUCGUUUCAUCAUGUGUUGCACAUCUAAGUCAUCAACUUUGCAUAAGUGUUAGGAUGUGUGCAUGUUUUUACAAAACAUUUGAAGACUCUAAGAUAUUUAGCUCACACCGCAACUUGCAAAACCUUUUCUCAUCCAAGGGCUUAGUGAAGAUAUCAGCCAGUUGAUCAUCAGUCUUCACAUGGUCGAUGAGGAUGUUGCCCUUGAGGACAUGGUCCCGAAGAAAAUGAUGACGAAUCUGGAUGUGCUUAGUCUUCGAGUGCUGUACUGGGUUGUAGGCAAUCUUGAUAGCACUCUCAUUGUCACAGUAGACAGGCACAUUCUUCAUGUUGAUGCCGUAGUCCUUGAGGGUUUGCUUCAUCCAUAGUAAUUGAGCACAGCAAGAACCAGCAGCAAUGUAUUCAGCUUCGGCAGUGGAGAGUGAUACGCAGUUCUGCUUCUUUGAGGACCAGCAAACCAGUGAUCUUCCGAGGAAAUGGCAUGUGCCAGAUGUUGACUUGCGAUCCACACGGUCACCAGCAUAGUCUGAAUCAGAAUACCCUACCAGUUGAAGAUUGGAGGCCUUGGGAUACCAUAAUCCUAGUGUUGGUGUGUGAGCUAAGUAUCGAAGAAUAUGUUUCACAGCCUUAUGGUGUGAUUCCUUCGGUUUUGCUUGAAAACGUGCACACAUGCAAACACUAAGCAUUAUGUCUGGCCUAGAUGCACAUAGAUACAAUAAAGAACCAAUCAUAGAACGGUAUACCUGCUGAUCGAAAUCUUUACCAUUUUCAUCAGUGCCGAGGUGACCGUUGGUAGGCAUUGGAGUCUUGGCACCUUUGCAUUCAUGCAUGUCGAAUUUCCUCAGAACAUCCUUGAGGUAUUUCUCCUGUGAUAUGAAGAUUCCAUUGCUUUGUUGACGAAUUUGAAGACCUAAGAAGAAUUUCAGCUCCCCCAUCAUAGACAUCUGAUAUUCUUCACUCAUCAUAUAGGCAAAUUCAUCACUGUAUCUUUUGUCAGUACAGCCAAAUAUGAUAUCAUCAACAUAUAUUUGACAUACAAACAGUUCAUUAUCAUAAGAUUUUGUGAAAAGAGUUGGAUCGAGUGAACCAGGUUUGAAGCCUUUCUUCAUGAGGAAUUCCUUCAAUGUAUCAUACCAUGCCCGAGGGGCUUGCUUGAGACCAUACAGAGCCUUUUUGAGUCUGAAGACUUUGUCUGGAUUCUUUGGAUCCUCAAAACCUGGGGGUUGAGCUACAUAUACUUCUUCCUCAAGAUUACCAUUGAGGAAUGCACUUUUCACAUCCAUUUGAUAUAAGAUGAUGUUAUGAUGAUUAGCAUAAGCAAGUAAAAUUCGAAUGGCUUCAAGUCUAGCAACAGGUGCAAAAGUUUCAUCGAAAUCUAUUCCUUCAACCUGGGUGUAGCCUUGGGCUACUAGUCGUGCCUUGUUCCUUACCACUUGACCGUCCUCAUCUUGCUUGUUUCGGAAAAUCCACUUGGUGCCGAUGAUGUUAUGCUUGCGAGGAUCUGGUCGUUUGACGAGCUCCCAUACGUCAUUCAGCUUGAAUUGAAGAAGUUCGUCUUGCAUGGCUUGGAUCCACUCCGGUUCCAGAAAAGCCUCAGCUACUUUUGAGGGUUCUGUGAUAUAUACAAAAGAGAAAUGCCCACAAAAGUUAACUAAGUGUGAAGCUUUUGAGCGAGUGAGAGGACCUGGCGCGUUGAUGUCGUUGAGGAUUUUGUCAAGUUCUACUUCAUUUGCAAUCCUCGGAUGUGCUGGUUGAGGAUUUUGCCUGGGCUGAGGAAGUGGUGUUGUUGCAAUUUCCUCAGGAACAUCUUCUUGUCUUUCAUCAGCAAUGGGGAUUGUUUCUUCACCAAUUUCCUCAGUGGGAACAAUGUCUUCAGUAGGUUUAAGCUUUAUUGCUUCCUUAGGAGACAGCUUAUCUGGAUCAGAAGGCAAUUGCUCUCUUUGCGAGCCAUUAGUUUCAUCGAACCGCACAUCUACAGUCUCAACAACUUUGUUGUGAUAGUUGUUGAAGACUCUGUAGGUGUGCGAGUCCUUUCCGUAACCGAGCAUAAAACCUUCAUGUGCUUUAGGUGCAAAUUUUGAGCUAUGAUGAGGAUCUCUAAUCCAGCAUUUUGCACCGAAGACUUUGAAAUAACUUACAUUGGGUUUCUUGUCAGUGAAGAGUUCAUAUGAGGUUUUCUUGAGGAAUUUGUGAAGAUAUACCCUGUUGAUGAUAUGACAUGCAGUGUUGAUUGCUUCAGGCCAGAAGCAACGAGGAGACUGAUAUUCUUCAAGCAUAGUUCUUGCCAUUUCAACUAGAGUCCUGUUCUUUCUUUCGACGACACCAUUCUGCUGAGGAGUAUAAGGAGCAGACAAUUCGUGAGUAAUACCAAGUUCAUCAAGAUAAUCAUCAAGACCAGUGUUUUUGAACUUGGUUCCAUUAUCACUCCUGAUAUGUUUAAUCUUGAUGCCGAAGUUCGUCGAGGCCCUUGAAGAAAAUCGUUUGAAGAUUUCCUGCACUUCAGUUUUAUACACUAAGAUAUGCACCCAGGUGUAUCUGGAAUAAUCAUCAACUAUGACAAAGCCAUAUAGAGAUGCUGCAUUGGUUAGUGUUGCAUAGUGAGUAGGUCCAAACAAAUCCAUAUGAAGCAAUUCGAAUGGACGUGUAGUGGUCAUGAUGGUUUUGGAGGGAUGCUUGGAUCUGGUCAUUUUCCCAGAUUCACAAGCACCGCAGAGAUGAUCCUUGAGGAAUUUGACUGAUUCGAUGCCAAUGACAUGCUUCUUCUUUGCAAGCGUGUGCAAAUUCCUCAUGCCUGCAUGACCUAGUCUUCUGUGCCACAACCAUCCUUCUGAGGUUUUUGCUAGUAAGCAAGUGGCUGGUUGAGUACCUGUAGAGAAGUCAACAAUGUACAAAUCCCCUCUUCUUACACCUUCGAAGACUUUGGAUCUGUCAGAUUCCAUGAUGACUACACAUCUAUAUCUACCAAAGAUAACAAUCAUAUCAAGAUCACAAAGCAUCAAGACUGACAUGAGGUUCAAACCAAGGGAUUCAACAAGCAUCACUUUGUCCAUAUGCCUAUCCUUGGAAAUAGCUACUUUGCCAAGUCCCAAUACCUUGCUUUUACCUUUAUCAGCAUAUGUGAUUUGCUUCAGAGGUGAUGGAGUUAGUGGCAUAUUCAUCAGUAGGCUUUUAUCACCAGUCAUGUGAUGUGUGCAGCCACUAUCGAGAACCCACUCAGUAUUUUUGGGUUUGUCAUCCUGCAGAUGAAUUAGUACAGCUUACCAUCUCAUAUGCUUCAAGUUUGAAGAAUAUGAUACUAAUUUCAUCAUAACAGAAAUGUAAGGACGUGUGAAAUAUUUCUAUUUCAUCAAUCAUUAGCUUGCGUCCUAUCAAGCAUUUCCUCAGGUCUCCAGCAAAUUCUUCAGAUGAUGAUUUUCAUCUGGAGACCUGACCUGCAGAAGUGAUUAGUUUGAUUUCUUCACCACCCACAUAUGAAGGGGUGGCAAAGCGUUCAUCAUUCUGCGAGCACCAUAUGAGAAAGGUGGCAUUGAAGCUAAUGCACUUCUCUUAACAGUAGGGGGGGUUAAAGUAUUCAUAUGAGUAUGCAGAGAACUGGUUUGAGGAUUUAUGAACAUAAUGAUUUGAAGAAUAGCGCUCAUAAUCAUAUUCCUUGUAGUUUCCCUGCAUGUUAGACGCAUAAGCACGGGUAUGAGCAUAGUUUUGACCAGUUGAGGAUUUUGAUCCUCUUGAAGACUUUGGUCCUCCUGAGGAUUUUGAUCUGGGGUUCAGAUUCUUCAGAGGUGAUGUCAUGAGGACAUUCACUUGAAGAUUUUCAAGACAACUUUUGGGAACCCAGAUUUUCCUCAGAGGAGGGCCAUUCCUGCAGUUAGUUCCAACAUAUCGAGCAAAUACUUCACCAGAUUGAUUUUUGAACAGUUUAUAGUUGGAAUCAAAUGACUCAUCAGAGGAAUAGGAUAAUUCACAUGAGAAGCCAGUUAGAUUAGAUGGAUCAAAAGGAGGCCCAGUAGCAGCAACCCAUGAGGUUUUGGGAUACUGCUCAGGUUUCCAAUAAGAUCCAUCAGCAUUCAGUUUCCUCUCAAAGGCAAUUCCUUCUUUCCUCGGGUUCCUGUUCAAGAUCUGCUUUUUGAGCACAUCACAAAGGAUUUGAUGUCCUUUGAGGCUUUUGUACAUGCCUGUCAAGUACAAUUCCUUCAACCCUGCAUUUUCAUCAGGGACAUUUUUGUUUUCCUCAAGUGAGGAAAUAGACACAACAGGUGCAGUUGAAGAAUUUGUAGCAGUGGUAGCAUUUGAAGAUUCUGGUGAAGAAUUAGCAGUUUCACAAUCAAUGCAUUUAAGACAUGGAGGAAUAAAUUCAACUUGACUAGCGCUGAUCUGUUGAGCUAGUAAUGAAUCAUUUUCCGUACGAAGAUCAUCAUAAGACAUCCUCAGCUUCUCAAGAUCAAGCUUCCUUUGAAGAAAUUCGUAGGAAAGCUUCUCAUGAUCAGUGAGGAGUGUAUCAUAACGAUCCUGAAGAAUAUCAAAUCUAGACUGAAGAUUUUUCAUGUCAUCAGCGAGGAUUUGAUUAAGAUUCAUUUCAUCAUUCAACAGAUCAUCACUUUUGUCUAGCAGUUUUUGAAGCUUUUCCAGAGCAGUUUGUUGUUUAGUGGCAAUGAUGGCAAGUUUACUGUAACUGGGUUUUUUGUAAUCAUCAUGUUCACAGUCACUUGAAUCAGAUGAGGAGGCAUUAUGUGAUACCUUUGAACCUUUUGCCAUGAAGCAAUAGGUUGGAGCGAAGUCAUCAGCAUAGUCAUCAGUAUGGAUGGUGCACUCAUUUUCUUCAAGAUUGAAGAUUGACUUGCUGACGAAAUUGGUUGCUAGUGCAAGACUAGCCUGUCCGGAUUCUGAAUCUUCUCCAGAGCCUUCUUCAUCAUCACAUUCUUCUGAUUCUGCCUCGGAAUCCAUUUCCUUGCCAAUAAGUGCCCGAGCCUUUCUGAAGCUAGUCUUCUUGUGUGAGGAGGACUUUGAAGAUGAGGAUUUUGAAGAUUUCUUUUUCUUCUUUGAGUCAUCAGAACUGUCAUCCUUGUAUUUCUUCUUCUUUGAUUCCUUUCCCCAGCGAGGACAAUCAGCAAUGUAAUGACCUGAUUUCUUGCACUUGUGACAGGUCCGUCUCUUGUAGUCCUCAGAUGCAGAUUCUGAUUUCCUCAUGUCUCUUCUUGAUGAUUUACCGAACUGGCCUCGUCGUGUAAAUCUCUGGAAUUUCCUCACAAGCAUUGCAAGUUCCUGACCAAAUUCUUCAGGGUCACAACUGCUGUCAUCUGUGUCUUCUUCUUCAGAUGAGGAAAUUGCUUUUGCCUUCAGUGCACGUGGUCUGGAAUAGCUUUGUCCAUAUAGAUCUCUCUUUUCUUCUAGCUGGAAUUCAUGAGUAUUUAGCCUUUCGAGGAUAUCAGCAGGAUCUAGCAUCUUGUAGUCUGGUCUUUCUUGAAUCAUCAGAACUAAAGUGUCAAAUGAAGAAUCCAAAGAUCUCAGCAGUUUCUUCACAACUUCGUGAUCAGUGAUGUCUCGAGCUCCCAGUGCUUGCAGUUCAUUUGAUAUGUCAGUGAGGCGAUCAAAGGUGUCUUGACAGCUUUCAUUGUCAUGUCUCUUGAAGCGAUUGAAGAGAUUGCAAAGAAUAUCAACACGAGAGUCGCGUUGGGUUGAUACUCCUUCAUUUACCUUGCAUAGUCUCUCCCAGAUCAGUGUUGCAGAGCCUAAGGCACUUACUCUUCCAAACUGGCCAGGGCUCAGAUGACCACAGAUGAUGUUCUUCGCUUGAGAAUCGAGUUGCUUGAAUUUCUUCACAUCAGCUGCAGUGACACUAGCAGAAAUGAUGGGGACACCAUUUUCCACAAUAUACCAGAGAUCAUUGCCUAUAGCUUGUAGAUGCAUUUGCAUUUUGUUCUUCCAAAAGGGAAAGUUCUUUCCCUCGUAGGUAGGACAUGCUGCAGUCACCUUAAACAUGCCUGCAGUCGACAUAACUAAAACUCCAGGUGGUUAAACCAAAAUCACACAGAACAAGGGAGUACCUUGCUCUGAUACCAAUUGAAAGUGCGUUAUAUCGACUAGAGGGGGGUGAAUAGGAGAUUUUUAGAAUUUCAUCACUGAGGAAAUUCCUUUUAAGGAAAUUCCUCACUGAUGACUAACUUACAGCGGAAACAGUUAAGGAUCAGUUGUGCAAUCGUUCACAAUAGCAGUAUUACAGAGUGAAGAUUAUGAAAACAGAUUGCACAGCAAGCAGGCACGCAGAAUACAGAUGAUGACUUACUCAAGUGAAGAAUUUGGGGUUGAGGAAAUUCAGAGAAAGUCUUCAGCAAAUUCUUCAAACAGUCACAGUGAAAGUCAUCAACACAUAAUACAGAGAAUGUAAAGAGUUGAGGAAUUAGAACCCGAUUCUUGGUGAAGACUGUUGUUGAUGACCCAGUUCCAACUGUUGUGACAGUUGUACAUCUGGUUUGGAGCGGCUUGGUAUUUAAACCAAAGGACACCCAGCCCCGAGACACACAGUCCCUACCGUAUUCUCCUUGAGCUAAGGACACACAGUCCUCGCCCAAACACUCGUGGUAAGUCUUCAGGGCAGACUUCCAAACCCUCACAAACUCGGUCACCCGGCGAUCCACAAUUGACUGCUGGAUUGCUCUAGACCAUCACGCCUAACCGUCUGGAGGAUGCACAGUCCUCAAAGGUAAAAGGCUUCAGUCCCACACAGGAACAACUUCUUCAGUGAUGCUCAAUCACUAGAUUUGGUUUGUGGUUUCGGUGGGUGGUGUAUUUCCUCACUGAUGAUUUACUCUCGAAAGCUCUGAGGAAUUGGGUUGCUCUUAUGACAAGUGUCAGUUUCUAGCGGAGCAGCCAACCGGCUAGUGGUUGUGGGGGCGGCUAUUUAUAGCCUGGGAGCAUCCCGACAUGAUUUGACAUUAAUGCCCUUAAAUAAUAUGACCGUUGGAGUGGAUAAGAUCAGUGACUUGGUGUGGCUUAUCGAAACGGUCGGGACUCUCAAUUGUGAGAGUCCUCAUGUUACUCAUAUUCCUCACUUGAGGCUUUUAGUAGGAUUUGGCUUGGGUUGAGCAUCAUGAGGAAAUCCAUUCCAUAGUGUUACUUUGACCCCCUUUAACAGUACGGUGUUCCUAUUCAUCAAAUGCGAAGAAAGUAAAACAGAAAACGAAAAUCUUCACGCUUCAAUUUCUUCAGAACGAUAUUCUUCAGGAACCACCGAUCUUCUCAAUAUCAAUAUCUUCAUGAGGAAUAUCCAUUUCAUCGUAAAUUCUUCGCGAUUCAUUUCUUCAGCUUCAGACCAAUUUCUUCAACUGAAGACAUACAAUUUUAGGGGUCGAUAUUCUUCAAAUAUCUCAAACUCCUCAAUGACUUAUAGAUCCUGUGUACACUUAAAAACACAUUAGAUGCUUAACCUAUAAGUCUUCAAUCCACCAAAAUCACUAAGGGGCACUAGAUGCACUUACAAACUGACACGAUCAUAUGCUACAUUCAUAGUUUGUGUCUUGUCCAUCACAUCAUUCUCCUAAUGAUGUGAUCCCUUUAUCAAGUGACAACACUUUUCCAUGGCAAGGAUACCUUGACCAUCUUUGAUGAACGAGCUAGUCAACUAGAGGCUCACUAGGGACAGUGUGUUGUCUAUAUAUCCACACAUGUAUUUGAGUUUCUAAUCAGUACAAUCCUAGCAUGGAUAAUAAAGGAUUAUCAUGAACAAGGUAAUAUAAUAAUAACCAAUUUAUUAUUGCCUCUAGGGCAUGUUUCCAACAUCUAGCAGACCCCAUAUAAUCGACAGAACUGUAAAAUUCUAACGACUAUACGGGUUUGGGCUGUUUUUUCUCCGAGAGCAGAUACUAUAAACGCGUCCCGGCCCGUAAAACUUUUGCGGUGCCCGUAAAUGUGAGCGCUCAACCGCUAUAUCUACGGGUUCGACCACUUGAUGCGGGUCGAAACCUUAUCCUUCCGCCGCCGCGAAAAGUUUCCCCACCUCACCGUCGGCGCCUCCAAUCAGUUGUUGCGCACCUCCAUUCCAUCGCGUAGCCGCUCCAUUCCACCGCCCUUGUAUGGCCAACUCGGGCGGCCGUAGGAACGACGACCCCGAGAGGGAUCGGUGCAUGAUCCGACGGUGCCCGGAAGCGCGCCACCCAUCAGUACACACAGUGGGGCCUGGCGCUGCCGCCAUCACUCCUCCAUCGCGAGACACAGGAGUAGGACCGCGUGGGCGGCUGGCUCUUCGCGUGCAUCUCCUCCGAGGCCUCGAGCUCGCACUCGUGCACCUCACUCCCCCUUCUUAAGAGGGAGGUCGAGGAGCUCGCGCCGGUGAAGAUGGAGCUUGAGGAGCUCGAGGAGCCGGAGGCCGAGGUGGUGCCGGAGGGGCGUGCUGGUGCCGUCGUCGGACCGGAGGGUUUCCCCCCCCCCCCCCGGCGUAGGCGGACAUCAUUUUCCCGUGCUACUGGCAUGGAGUGCGCGGGAGGCGGAAGAGGACGAGCAGUGCUGCCGGAGGAAGGAGGAGAUCGACACCCUGCUCUACGAGCAGGGUGCCACGUCGGCCCUCGCCUUCGGCCAGAAGGUGGAGGAGUGGCGCCGCAAAGCGACUGUGUAGGCGCGCAUCUACGUCGACCUCUCCUCCGACGAGGACGACGACUAAGCGCACUGCGCAUCUACUACCGAACAAGGUCGACUCUGGUAAGCUCGUCUUUGUGUAGUGCGGUUGGAUAUAGUAUCUCCGGUGAGCUCCAGUAGGAUAGUUUACCUCUAGCCCCCCCUUUAGUAUGUAUGAUCAUCUACUAUGUAUGAACUUUGAAUGAAGUGUGCUUCCCAAUUCGCCCGCGAAUGCUUUUUCAAAUUAUGCAGUUCGAUUAUACGGGGUCUGUUCUGCAGCACAAAAUUUUGCCCCGCAAAACCCCACAUCGUCGAACUGUAAAACGCGUUUGUAGGUCGCAAUUAUAUAGGGUCUGCUAGAGAUGCUCUAACAAUGGCAGUAUCAUUUGAAAACUCAUAUAUAUGCAAUCAUAAAGACAUUCCAACAUAUGUACUCCACCACAAAAUAAACACAUACACAAUCUCUACAAAUUGUAUCUCUAAGGCCAUGUGUAGGAAAUAGCACAUAUAUACACAAUUGAACAAGCAUAUGUAUGAUCCCUAGUUAAAUUUUAUUUGAAGUCACAUAUAUAUUUCCCCCAAAAAACCACAACAACUAUAUUCAAUACUAGGAAAGAAAAUAUUACACUCUUAUCUAUAAAUCCAAUACUACACAGUAUCAAAUACAUCACCACAACAACUAUAUAUUUCCUCUCAACCAAAUAUAGCCAAAACAAUCUUCAAGCAAAUUAUGGAAAAACUAAUCUUAUUGUUACACCACGUACCAAAAGAUGCAUUGAAAAUAGCUUGUUUUGACCAAAAUAAAUAGGAGGGGUAGGGGAAGAAUACCUCAAGAAACUUUGGGAUGAUUAGAUCCACGAGUUUUGACAUUCAAAUGACUCAAUUUGAGAUGGAUUUGAUUCAAAGGGAGGGGGAGGGGAGCCGACGCCUUUGUUGUACGGGCGGUUGGGAGGAAGAUGCCCUCGUGGGGGUGCGUCUGGGCUGGGAUCCACCCAUGGACUCGCGACCACUUACAUAUUCAACUAAGAAACACCAGGAGCUUGCACACUUCCAACAAUAUUGGGUGAUUCAGCAUUUCUACAUGCCAUGUAGUUAGUCAACACCACCUCGGCGUGAUGAUGGGCUAGGCCAGAAAAAUCAGGCAGUUUGGUGUUCCUGAUUGUGGCAGAAACAACUUAAGCCAUCACAUUGCACAAGAAGGUUAAAUCAUACUAAAAAUUUAAUAGAAUGUCAUUUAAUGCUAAAUUUUCUUGUUGGGGAACAUUCAUGGGAAACAAAAAAAUUCCUACGCACACACAAUACCUAUCCAUGGUGAUGAUCAUCUACGAGAGGAGAGAGUGAAUCUACAUACCCUUGUAGAUCGCUAAGCAAAAGCGUAUAUAACGCGGUUGAUGUAGUGGAAAAUCUUCGUGAUCCAAAUCGCAGCCCAUCCCGUGAUCUUAUCACGACCCGUCCUACGAUCCCAUCAUGAUCCAUCCCGAUCUAGUGCCGAACGGACGACAUCUCCGUGUUCAGCACACAUACAACUCGAUGACAAUCCCCGCCUUCUUGAUCCAACAAGAAGGGCGGAGAGGUAGAUGAGUUCUCCAGCACGACGACAUGGUGAUGGUGGUGGUGGUGAACUAAUCCAGUAGGGCUUCACCUAAGCACCGCCGAACUAGACUAGAGGAGAAACAAAUCUAGAGAAAAGUAGAGGGAGCAUGUGGCAAUUGUUGUGUCUCAAAACCCUCAAAAUCUCUACUAUAUAUAGGAGAAGAGCAGGGAGGUCGCGGGCCCUAGGGCUGCCCCUUUGGGUCGGCCGAAUUGGGAGGAGAGGAGGAGUCCUCCUCCAAUCGUACUCCUAGUAGGAUUCCCCUUCCACUUGGAAACCUUUUUCCACCUUUUGUAUUUUUCCCUUAUUAUCCACUCCAGUCGUAUGGGCCCUUAGAGGUGGCUUCGGACAGCCCACCAGGGGCUGGUUUGCCUCCUCUCUUGGCCCAUGAAGCCCUAGGGUCGUCACACCCCUUCCGAUGGUCCCCCGGUACCCUCCCGGCACUCCCGGUACACUACCAUGAGUCCGAAACUUUUCCGGUGACCAAAACAGGACUUCCUAUAUAUCAAUCUUUACCUCCGGACGAUUCUGGAGCUCCUUAUGACAUCCAGGAUCUCAUCCAGGACUGCGAACAACCUUCGGUCAUCAACACCUAUAACUCAACUCUAUCAAAACCUCAUAGAACCUUAAGUGUGCAGACCCUGUGGGUUCUGGAACUAUGCAGACAUGACUGAGACACUCUCUGGUGGAUACCGCAAUAGCGGGACCUGGAAGUUGAUGAUGAGUUGAUGGAUAUACUUCUCGCCCCUUGUUGGAUACCACAAGUGGAAGGUGGAGAUGUAGUCAGCAACAGAUUUCCCUUGCACGGUAACUGUAAGGUUUAUCGAGCCAGGAGGACUCCUAGGCUCAACAAGUACGUGUCUUCCACCCUGGCGCUAGAAGAAGAUGUGGAUCUGCACACACAUCAAAUAACUUUGCUCCCAGUGAGUACAGAGAGGUUGUCAAUCUCUCCGGCCUUGUAGUUUGUAAAGGAUCAAAACACAAGCGGGAAAGUAAUAGUGAUUGCAACGGAAAAUUAAAUGAAAGCGGUAAAUGAUGGAGAAGUAAACAAUGAUGGUGAUAUGGACCAGAGUCACAUGAUGUUCACUAGUGAUGUAUCUCUCCCAAAAGAUGAUAAACAACUACGCUUGGGUAAACAAAUCACUGUUGGGCAAUUGACAGAAUUUUGAUCGCACCGCAAUGCUAGUUAUGCUACUUGAUAGUUAGAGGUUCAAUAGUAAUGGGCAGUACGCCAAGACAAGUAAACCGUUUAUUCAUCAGCAUCUACUUACUAAUCAUCCACCUUGAGAUAUCUAUCCAGAACAUCUCGCCGGUAUUAAGUUGCGAGCCCCACCUAAAGUGUAAACUCAAAGCAACGGAGAACUGCAUUAACGAACUAUGCAUAACGUAAACAAUCCUUGCAACCAUGGUCGGAAGCACCGUUGUUUUCUCCCUACUGGCAACAAACACAUUCCCUUGUCUCAUGUUUCUGUCACUCAAGCUAGACAUCGAGGGGCAUGAACCCACAAUCAUGCAUAGUGCUCCCUCUUGGAGUUACAAUCUACUACUCGGCCAAAGCAAUAAAUAACAACGGAGAACAUGCAUGAAUCACUAAGAAACAUAAUAUAAAAGGAUAAUCAAAUAUAUAACUCAUAACAAUAUGAACAUAAUCUCAUAAUCCAUCGGAUCCCAACAAACCAAGCAUAACAAUAGCAAGAGAAUUACAUAGAUGCCUUGAUCAUGUAGGGCAGCUCACAAGGACUAACCAAUGAAGCACAAGAUUGGAGAGAAGACAUCACAUAGCUACUGGUCAUGGACUCAUGGUCCAAGGAGGACUACUCACAGCACGUCCAGGAAGCGUCCAUGGCGGUGGAGAAGCUCCCGGAGGUCAAUCCUCCCUCUGGCAGGGUGCCGAGAAGAGGUCUCCUGACGCUCCCGAUCUCGGAAGCGAUGCGGCGGCGGAACGAUGGAGAAAUUCGCGAUUCCAGAAGUUGUUUAAGGGUUUCCUCUCGGGGCUCUAAAUAUAGGCCAAAGGAGGGCACCGGAAGAGGUGGGACCCACCCAGGCGGCCUCCUGGCGUGGCCUAGGGCCUGGCCGCGCCAACAGGUCGCCUGGGAGGCCCCUGGCCCCCCUCUGGCCCAUCUUCGGUAAUCCGGAAGCUUCUGUGUCGCUGAUUUUUUAUAUAUUUUUCUGGAAUUUUUCGGGCUUCGGAAAAUUGGGUAAAAACCCCUGCAAAAUAGUCAUCAGCACACAUAAACUGGCACUGGGUGCACUGAGUUAGUAGGUUUGUCCAAAUAUGUGUAAAAUGAUAUAAAAGUGUAGCAAAACAUAUAAGAAUGGAAGCCAAAAGAUCAUGGAACAAGCAGAAAUUAUAGAUACGUUUGGGACGUAUCAAGCGUCCAUAUUGGAUCCUACAUAUUCUACGAAGAUCUUUAUCGGUUGAACCUCUAUGUCAAGGAUUCAGUUAAUCCCAUAUGCAGUUCCCUUUGUCCUUCGGUAUGUUACUUGCCCGAGAUUCGAUUAUAGUUAUCUCUAUACCUAGUUCAAUCUCGUUACCGGCAAGUCUCUUUACUCAUUCUGUAAUACAAUAUCCCAUGACUAACUCCUUAGACACAUUUCUUGCAAGGCUUAUUAUGAUGUUGUAUUACCGAGUGGGCCCCGAGAUACCUCUCUGUCACACGAAGUGACCAAUCCCAGUCUUGAUCCAUGCCAACCCAACAAACACCUUCGAAGAUACCUGUAGAACACCUUUAUAGUCACCCAGUAACGUUGCAAUGUUUCAUACACCAUCGAGUUCUCAGAGUGCGAGGCAAACAAAGACGCGAUGACAAAGGCGGAGGCGGUUGAUCAUGCGAAGGAGCAGGACCACCUUCUUCGUAGGUCGUGUGGCCUAAGGUGCAGCUCGGACACGAGCCUGACGGACGGCUCCACCUCCACCUCCCACGACAAUGCACCAUCGCAUGCCGACGACGACAUGAAGGAAAAGGGGCACAACAACGUCGAGGAUCGAAAGGGGAUGGGACGAGCAAGAAAAUGGUGAUUGUUGCCUUCCCGUUUUAUUUAUGUUUUAUCUAUGUUUUAAGUAGUUUGUAGUAUGGAUUUUCAGUAUCCAGCAAUGAACUAUGUUUGUUUUUGUCCGACAAUGAAAUGAUGAUCGUGUUUGUACGUAGCAUUGCAUGAGUUUAAGAUUUCAGAUAUGAGAUAUGCGGAUAUGGAGAGAGAAAUUGAAGACAUGACCGGUUAGUGUCCACAAGCGUUUGUGGGGCCGGAUUGGUCAAGUCUGACUGUAGAUGCCCUAAUCUUUUAGGACGUGUUUGGUUGCACGCAUCUGCCCCAACCAGGAUUGGUUGGCCAUGAAAAAUGUGUUUGGUUGAGAACGCGGUAGGCUGGCUCGCAUCGGCACGAAGCUUAAAUCAUCCCAAAACUUGGCUCGCUAGAAACUGCCGAUUUGACAGUUUCUAGCAAGCUAGACUGAGUGCGGCGCAACCUCACACUUGGGGGAGCAAGCCGAAAGCGAGUGGGGAUAGCGGGAGAUGGAAUCAGUUGUGGUGGACGGUGCCAAAUCUAGCCUCACCCCCAUUUACCCGACCUUCACUACCUCUAGGACAACCACUUCCUUUAGCCUCACCACCGGCGGUGGCGGUGACUCAGAUCUGUGCAAGCGGUGAUGGCAGAGGCGACGGUGGACGAGGAGGCGAACGCAGCAGCAACACUAUCCGGCAGCAGGAGCUGCUGCUCCACUUCCAUUUGGCCAGUGUUUGGUCAUCCUUGAUUCAGCCAUGGGCCCCCAUUCGUCGUCCUCGUCCCUGAUGCCGGUAAGCAACACCCCCUCUCCCCUAUGUCGGUAAGCAACACUCGAACCUUAGAGUAACUGUUAAGAGGGAAUAUUGAGCUGUAAGAACGAGGUUAAGAUCCUGGAUUAGAAGCCAUCCCACACUUUCCCCACUCAUGUUAAGCUUGUUUUUACUUGUUGCAUUCUGCAUAACUGGAUCCUGCAAUGGGGUUGUGAUGAACUCGUGCCUCGGGAGGAAGAUGUGACGCUUCACGAUGUUGACACCGGUAGCCAUGGUGUGAAGGCAUUUGACAACGAAGCCUAGAAAAAUAAAAUGAUAAAGUGAGUACAUACAAUAUUGGAUAACAGAGGUAACACAAGGAUCUGAAGAUGAAAAAGAGCAAGGAGAAGAAGAGUAAGAAGCAACAAUAAGAACAACAACAACGGCAGCAGAAGAGGAAGAUGAAGUAUUAGCAAUAGUAGGAGAAAGAGGAAGAGGAUGGACUUCCAUCUAGUUAGCAUCGAUCAUGAAGUUUCCACAUUCAGCCAUUGGCUCUUAAUAAUAUGUAUAAUUAUUUGAUAAUAGACAGGAUGAAUCAUAAUUUGUUUCGUAGCUAAAAGUGAAACUGUUAAAAUAAUGUAUGGUAAGAUCAUUACUAGUGAAAAGUGGUGAGAACAUCUUAUGCAUGUUACGACCAAAUAGUGUGUUCCAUGUGUGCCUAAUGCAAUGCGGCCAACCGAACGAUAGGUCAAAAUUAUUUUCUAGCUAACAUAUAUGCGGACAGCUAAACUAUAUGUAAAUGAUGGUUUAGAGACUUUUUUUAACAAAGCCAUAUACAAAAUACAUGUAAUACAGCCAAAAAGAUGCACGCAACCAACCAUGUCCCUAUUCUUCUUUUUGAAUAUGUAUAUGUGUAUGGACGUGAGUGUAGAUAUUCGUGUGUACAUUUUGGUUGGAGUUGGCCAUAUGACCAGUGCGUGGCGUAAAGGAUAGUGCAGUGGUGGCAGUGCUUCACGUGCCUGCUUUACUGGUCCCUGCGUGCUCGAUGGAGGUCUACACCGUAAUGUGCAGAUGAUUACGCUAAAGCGCUCUCAAAUGCAACUAUUUCUCUGAAAGCUUUCACUGAAGGAAGCUUUAACCGGGGACGAAAGUUCAGGUACAGGUGCAGUGUUGGUUCACGCGUGCACCUGUCAGUAAUCGAUGCGCCUCCUGUCUCUGCCACGUUUUCCGCUUUCCUGGUUUCCCUGCCGUUGCUUUGCCCGGUUCUCGAUGUCGUGGGAUAAGGAUGGGGGUGGUGACUGUAUAGCGGGAUAUGCCAUGGAAUCUACCUACCCUACUUCCUUCCGGCAAAAGACAACGACGAACGGCCACGGCGGCGGCCGCUGGUUUCACGGUGCGACGGGGCGGCCCGGCUCGCGCUUCCAGUAGUACUACGAUAGUACUUCCUCCGUUUAAAAAUAUACUCCCUCCGUCCCAAAAUAAGUGUCUCAACUUUAUACUAGCUUUAGUAUAAAAUUGUACUAAGCUCGAGACACUUAUUUUUGGACGGAGGGAAUAUGUUUUUAGAUAUUCCGUUACAUACUGGAGUACAUAAGAAUUAUAUAGGCAUCUGUAGAUUCAUUCAAUUUGGUCAGUCGAGGCCUGCAAAUCUUCAUAUACAGAUCUAGGAACGAAUAAGAGGCCAACUUAACCCAUUUGAGUUGAAGAUGCUUAUACAGCGGCUGUGAUGUUGGGCGGCGACGGCGCUCAUGGCGUCGUUCCCUUCUUGAAGGCGCCGCUUUGGGAACCCUGGGGUUGGGUGGCGCUUGUGGGUGGUGGGCGACAGCGGUGGUGCGGCCCUAUCCUAGCAUGGAUCUCUGUCCGUUGCUUGGAGAUGGACUCGCGUAGGUGGAGGUCGUCGUCUGGCGUUAUGGUGAUGUCGAUGGCGGAGGCACCUGUGAGUGCGUCAGACCGGUUUGUGUCCCUGACCCGGUAUAUGGCUCGGUCGGGGCCUCCGGUUUUAGAUAUUAGGCUUAGGUGAGAGGUCUGAGUAUUUGGCUCAGCUUGCGCUACUUCAUCAUAUGAAUAGGAGUAAUGGCAGAUGUUGUCAAGAUGACGGAUCCAAGCUGUUGUACUACUUUGUAAGGCCCUUAAAAAUAAUCAAUAAAAUGGUUGCAUGCAUCGUGGGUUAUCCUCCUUUUCAAAAAAAAAAAAAUACAGCGGCUGUGAUUCUCUCUUGUGCAUAGUUCUCAGUUCUCACUGCCGGAGAAAUUAAUCUUCGUUCCACACUGUUCUUGGCUCUCUCUUGGGCUUCACAUUGACAACCACCGUUAGUUCCUCUUCCUAGAGAUCACAUUCUACAUCAUUUUUACUACCGGUCUUCUCGCAGAUAUUAGAUUCCCCCAUCACGAGGAGAGAGAGGAAGGGCAUGUGCCGCGCCCAUGCGCGAAUGUUUCUCCUCUUAGCGUGCAUGCACGUUGAAUCUUUCGAUAGUUGUGGCAAGUAAGAAAAAAAAACAGCAGUUUGGUGACCCAGCCAAAUUUUAAAUCUGAUUUAAACUAGAACAAACACACACACACACACCCCACACCAACGACGGAUACAGAGCUGACGACAUGCAGUUCAUUGCACGGCCAUGAAACAUCUCUAGCCACACAUCCACCACCGCAACUACUAAUUGAACAGCAAAUCCGACACGACGCGACAAGAUGAACCAACUAGCAGCUGCAUGCAAUACGACUAAGAUCCGCCAAGCUGCAGACUUAUUAAACAAACAUACCCAGCAGCAACCUAGCUACUCUAGCUCGCAAGCCAUUCCAUCGCUGGCUGGAUCUACGGCUUGUAGAAGACGAUCUUGAUCUCGUCGACGCCGUGGCACUUGCCUCCGGGGACGGAGUGCUCGAAGCACUUGCCGCCGCUGGUGCAGCCGGCGGUGGGGCAGUGGUCCUUCAGGGGGUGGCCGUGCGGGGUGAUGGAGACCCGGAUGGGCAUGCGCGACUGGUCGGUGCUCACCUGGUACCACGCCCCGCCGUCGUACCCGAGGUGGAACUCCGUCACCACGGCGUCCUGCACCUUCACGCGUCCAGUCCACGAGCACACGGUGAACGAAACGUGGGUGCCCUGGCGGAGCAGGUGGCCGGGGCUGUAGAGGAGCUUGCUGUUGGCCAGCGGCUCGAUGCCGAGGGAGAGGUCCUUGCCGCACAGGUUCUGCACCGUCACGUUGCGGCUCGGCUUACAGUUCUGGGGGUCCUGCCCGGCGGCGGACAUGGCAGUGGCUGCCAGCGCCACGGCGAGGAGGAGAGCAGCCAGGGGCUUGGAGAACGCCAUGAGCGGUUUCAACUGUUGGACGCUGGUUAGGUAGGAGUGGAGAGGUGAGGUUUGAGUUGAGGUUUAAGGCUCACUUUGAAGGGUAUUUGUAGGCUAAGGGAAGGAGAAUUAGGGCUUUGUCACGAAGGCUCGAGAUUCUUCUCAGCUAGCUGGGCAAUGCCCAAUCAGACGUGGUUAAAACUUUGUUUUGUCACUGCUACCAGUCACAUCGAUUUAUUGUCAGAUAAAGAUUUAUGAGAGAUCGAUGGCGCAGGACAACGUACUAUAAAAUGUUUUCUUCCGUUGUCUCAUACUGUAUUAAAAAUAGCUUGGAAGGACAAAAGGUUAAAUGAAUAUAAAACAUGACCUAAUGCGAUCGGAACAAACGAACAAAUAUACGUUUUCGAUCCAUUCUCGAUCCGUUUCGGUUCAAGCUUGAACCGCGUUUGCGGUUAAACAGACACGCGCGGACGGGGCGCGACGCGUGUGCUUGUUCGCCCCUGGCCCGCUAGUCACUGACACAACCCUUAUCCUGCCCUUUCCUCGCUCCGCCCUCGGCCCCUCGUCCUCAUCGCCGCCACGCCAGUCAUCCACCUUGCUUUGCCCGUCGAUGGAACAACCCCUUUUAUUCCUCCCUUGUUGUCGGUCCGCCCUUCGCCCACAAUGGUCCACCUUGCUGCUUGCGAAGGGGCUGGACGUGCCCUUUGCGGCCGCGUCUCCACCACAACCGCAAGGUGUUCGAUGCUUUGCUCUCAGGGUACCAUGGAUAGCGGAGAUGGAUACUUUUUCACAACUUGAUUUGUUCAUCGGAUGAUUCAUCCUCACAGGGUGAGGACAUAGUGGUGACAACAUUGGUAGUCCAUGACCACAUCAAUAGGACGUGUCCUCGAUUCAGGGGAUCAAUCUACGGCCAUGUUCGAGCCUUGAACCGCAAUAGGGAGAAAGGGUACCAUCUCCUCUAAUCCGACUACUUUGAGAGAACCGCGCUGUACAAACCGCAUCAAUUUUGUCGCCGCUUUCAAAUGAGGGGACAUGUGUUCAAUCGUAUUCGGGAAGGAGUGGUUGCAUAUGACACAUACUUUGAAUGCAAAGAGGAUGCCCUUGGCAAGCUUGGCUUCUCUUCUUACCACAAAUGCACUGCGACUAUUCGCAUGCUUGCAUAUGUAAUUCCUGGUGACCUUGUGGAUGAGUAUGUUCAUCUGAGUGAGUCCACGUGUCUCCAAUCAAGGUACAUUUUCUGCAACGACGUGGUGGCCGUGUUUGGUCCUGAAUACCUCAUAGAACCAAAUGUUGCUGAUACACAGAGGUUGUUGACGGUCAAUGUCGAGAGGAGCUUUCCGGGCAUGCUUGGUAGUAACGAUUGUAUGCACUUUAAGUAGAAGAACUGUCCAUUUGCUUGGCAGGGGUAGUAUAAGGGACAUGUGAAAGGUGCCACUGUCAUACUUGAAGCUGUGGCUUCACAAGAUAUGUGGAUAUUUCAUUCUUUCUUUGACAUGGUUGGUUCUCACAAUGGUAUUAGCGUUCUUCAGCAUUCUCCAGUGUUUGCAAGGCUUGCAGAAGGCCACUGUCCCAAGGUCAACUUUGAGAUAAGUGACCACCAUUACAACAAGGGAUAUUAUCUAGCUCAUGGUAUCUAUUCCCAAUGGUCCACUCUUGUGAAGACCAUACCCAAUCCGCAAGGAGAUAAGAGAUAGAGUUUUGCCCAAAUGCAGGAAAGUGUUAGGAAAGAUGUGGAGGGUGCAUUUGGUGUGCUUCUUUCUCGAUGUGGUAUCGUUCGAAACCCUGCAUUGACAUGGAGCAGUGAGAAGCUUUGGAAGGUGUUGACUGUUUGUGUGAUCAUGCACAACAUAAUCGUGAGGUGAGCGUGAUGGCAACAUCUAUGACAAAGGGUUUGAUUUACACGGUGAGAAUGUUGAGAGUGAGCACUCACCUCCUACAACCUUUGAAUAGUUUGUCCAAUUUCAUCGUGAGAUGCAUGAUCGGAACGCUCAUACUCACUUGCAAGAUGACUUCGUUGAGCACAUGUGAGAUCACAUUGGCAAUGAGUAGAUCUAUCGGUUUAAUCUCUUUUCGUGUGCCCAAACUUUGAGUGGUUUUGUAAGACUCUUUGCUAUUUUUUAAAAUUUAGUUGGAUUGUAAUAAAAGACUAUGUCGAACAUGAAACUAUUUGUUAUGUUUUAUUUGAACUAUUUCUGCUAAGCUUGAUUUUAUUGUACUUGGCCUCCGGCAAACGAGAUUGGGCACAAGAUGCGGUCACGCAUUGCGUGCCGGGAUGACACAAACCCAUACCCGGGCGAACACUGCCCCAUUACCACCCCAAAAGGACGAAAUCCAGACAAAAUAGAUGUUCGUUUGGGGUCGUGCGUUGGAGUUUCCGUAAGAGCAUCUACAACCGGACCCUCGCACUCAUCUCAAACUUUCGGGCAAGCCGCUUGAUCCCUAACUUGUCAUGAAAAUUUGACCCAACUCGACACAUCAAACGGGUCUCAAACGUCCGGGCUGACCAGCACCACUCAUAUCUAGCCCAAAUAUAGGUCAGAUAUCGGCCGCGCGGGCACGCCCGCCACGUCGGAUCCGAUAGCAUGACCCCAUCGCAAAUUGCACCAAAUCCACCCGGCUAAACUGCUAGAUCCAUUUGCUAUUUCCUAUCUUCUUCCUCCUCCACGCCGUUCGUAUCCUAGCUCCGUCACCGCAUGCGCUCCUCCACCGUUCCUAGCCUCUGCCCCUCCAGCUCUAGCAGAGCAGUCUUCUGCCCCGUCCUCGCCAUGGAGAACGUCGUCGUCGACCCGGAAGACUCCACGGUAUGUCUGGCAACUCUUUGUCCCCGCCUUACAUUGGAUGUGUUCGACAUAGUCUCUGACCCAAUUUUUUGUGAAACUAAUGAUGGAUUUCAAUGCUUCGUUGGGCGAGGAGUAUGGACCGACGCAGCUUGAUCAAAUGAUUCCAGAUGAGUUCUUCGGUUCAUCAGAUUCGGACGAAGAAGUGCACAUGAUCAUGCUCAUCACCAUGCAAGAGGAAAUGGAUCAACAAGUGGAGCACAUUUUCAAUCUCAAGGGCUCAAUCUAAGGGAGAAGAGUGAUCAAUUGGGAUAUGGUAUCCGGAGCAAAGCUACUGCAGAAGGAUUACUUUGCUCUGAACACAACUUUCCUGGAUGAUCCAUGGUUUUGUCGUUGUUUUUGCAUGCGAAAACCAUUAUUUUUGUGCAUUAUGGAUGCAGUGGAGGCACACGACAACUACUUCAAACUCACAAGGGGAUUUCUUAGGUCAACUCUCUUUCUCAGCCAAGAAGAAGUGUGCGGCUACUGUGAGAAUGCUUGCACUUGGUACUGUGAUAGAUCCCGUUGGUGAGAUGGUCAGGAUGGGGGAGAGCACAUGCCUCAAGACUACUGCCAAGUUUGCUCGUGUUGUCGUCAACAUGUUCGGAGCAUAGUAUCUCCAAAUGUGAAGGACACAGAGAAGUUGUUGGCUAUUGGAGAGGCGAGAGGGUUCCUGGGAAUGCUUGAAUCAAUUGAUUGCAUGCAUUGGCAGUGGAAGAACUACCCCAAAGGUUUGCGAGGAAUGUAUCAAGGUCACACCACAGAGGCCACCAACAUACUACAAGCGGUGGCAUCACAUGUAUUAUGGAUUUGGCAUGCUUUAUUUGGAAUGCCGGGUUCUCAUAACGACAUCAACGUGCUUCAACGAUCUCCGGUGUUCAGUAGGCUUUGCAAUGGGGAAUCACUUCUGUGCAACUACACCAUCCAUGACAGAGACUACAACACGGGAUACUAUCUUGCCGACGGCACAUAUCCUCAGUGGGAUUCAUUUGUGAAGACCAUAUCUGAACCAUAUGGCAAUAAACAAAAGCACUUCGCAACAAUGAAGGAAGCAGCUAGGAAGCAUGUGAAGAGGGCUUUCAGAGUGCUGCAAGCUCGUUGGGGAGUUGAUCGUGGAGCUGCAAUGAUGUGGGAGUUCGAAACUUUGUGGCAGUUGAUGUCUACUACACAACUUGUUCUUGUAGACUUGUGUUGGGCCUCCAAGCACAGAGUUUCGUAGGACAGUAGAAAAUUUCCCUCAAGUGGAUGACCGAAGAUUUAUCAAUCCGUGGGAGGUGUAAGAUGAAGAUGGUCUCUCUCAAACAACCAUGCAACCAAAUAACAAAGAGUCUCUUGUGUCCCCAACACACCCAAUACGAUGGUAAAUUGUAUAGGUGCACUAGUUCGGCGAAGAGAUGGUCAUACAAGUGUCAUAUGGAUGGUAUAAAUGCAUUUUUAUAGUUUGAAUAAAUAAAAACAGCAAGGUAGCAAGUAACGGAAGUGAGCACAAACGGUAUUGCAAUGCUUGAAAAUAUAGGUAGGUAUGGUGGACUCAUUUGGCACAAGUUUGGGUUUAGGAUUUGGAUGCACAAGCAGCAUUCCCCCUUAGUACAAGUGAUGGUUAGCAAAUAGAUUGAGAAGCGCCCAGCCAAGGAAUGAAAACCAUCAUAAAUGAACAUUAAACAUAACUAACACCAAAUAAUUUAACACAAGUAGGAUAUAACUUCACAUCAUAACUAUUGAGUCAAUGUGCAUGCAUAGGGAAUCACAAACUUUAACACCAAUAUUCUUACUAAAGCACAAUUACUCACCAACAUGACUCAUAUAUUAUUAUCUCCAUAUCGCAAAACUAUUGCAAGGAAUCAAACUUAUCAUAUCCAAUGAUCUAUAUGAAAGUUUUUAUUAUAUCUCCCCUGGAUAUCUAUCACUUUGGGACCAAUUUCAUUUAAAGCAAAUUGUCAUUGCUAAUAACAAGCUUUCAAACAGAUAUAAGUGAAGAACGAGAACACAAUUUUUUUAAAAUUUUCAACUCUCAAAAUAGUAUAAGUGAAGCAAGAGAGGAUUUCUUCAAAGUUUCUAAUAACUCCUAAAAUAAUCUAAGUGAAGCAUGAGAGCAUAUUCCAUCAAAAUAAUAGCACCACCGUGCUCAAAAAUAUAUAAGUGAAGUACUAGAGGAAUUCAAUCAAACUACUCUCAAAAGAUAUAAGUGAAGAUCAAUGAGUAGUCAAACAAUUAAGUAGCUAUGUGAGGUGUCUCUCUAAUAAAUAUUUUCAUAUCUGAGAUUUUCUUUCAGACAACAAAUAAAACAAAAGACACUCCAAGAAUAGCACAUAUCAUGUGGACAAAUAAAAUUUUAGGAUCAACAUAGGCUAACCGAUAGUUGUUGAUGAAGAAAGGUGGGAUACGUAGCAUCCCCGGGCUUAGAUUCUUGAGACUUCUUGAAAUAUUUACUUGGGGUGCCUUGGACAUCCCCAAGCUUGAGCUUUUGUAUCUCGUUCAAUCUUCUCAUAUCCCGGUUUCACCUAAGUCUCAAAAAUUUCAUCCAUACAAUAUUUGAAAAGAACUCGUGAGAUAGGUUGGUGCACAUAAGCAUAAAUAAACUCUUUAUGUACUGCCAAGACAAGUUUAGUAAUAAUUUUCAAACAUUAGGUACUCUAUACUACCAUUCCCACAAUUUAUAUCUACCAAUAUAGGCUAUGGAGACUAUAGGAUAAGUAGAUAACAAAACUAUGAAAACAAUUUGUCUAAAUAGGACACUUUGUAGAAAUCUAUCUAAAAUGUGUACUUCAGUAUUUCCAAAAAUUCUAAAAAUUUAGGACAUGAUAAAUAAUUUCUAUGAAAGUAUUGUGUAAAAUUUUAGAAACUCUCCACAUUUUAUAAAAUAUGGUAAUUGAAAUACUACAACAUAAGUUUCUCUUUUUAUACAACACACAUCGCACAUGUAAUUCAAGCUUUCUAAAGACAAUUCUUGGAACUUUUUAUUAAAAAGAAGAUUAUAAAUAACAUAUAACAGAUAACAAAAAAAUGAUGCUCAAAACAAAACACAUAUCAUCUGAUGAAUAAAAAUAUAGUUCCAAGUAAGAUAUACCAAUAAUACUGGAGAUGAAAAAUGGGAUGCCUUCCGGGGCAUCCCCAAGCUUAGAUGCUUGAGUCUUCCUUGGAUAUUACCUUUGGGGUGCCUUGGUAAUCCACAAGCUUAGGUUCUUACUGCUCCUUAUUAUCAUCAUAUCGGUAUCUCACCCAAAACUUGAAAACUUCAAUCACACAAAACUUAACGAAACUUCGUGAGAUGGGUUAGUGUAAUAAAGAUAGAUCAUUCACUUAGGUACUAUCAUGGCAAGAUUCAUAAUUGUCCUCACAUGAUACCUAUUGUAUUAUAUCAUUACGAUUAUUUAUAUCACUCAAUAUAAGCUAUGGAAACAAUAAAACAAGCAAACCAUGCUUGCAAGACAGAAUGUGUGAAAAACAGAAUAGUCUAUUAAGAUCUGAUUGAAAUCCAUACUUCCCUGACUCUAAAAAUUCUGAAACAUUAGGACAGCGCAGAUAAUUUACAUAUAAAAACUGUGUAACAGUUUCAGAAUUGUUUGACGCUCCAAUAAAAUCAGAUAAAUUCUAUACUAGACAUAAAAUUUUCUGUUUUUGCACAAAAUCAAACAAGCAAGUAUUCACACUAUCCCAAAGGAUUUACUUGGCACUUUAUUGAAAUAAAAGCUAGAAAACAUGAUUACCACGGUAUAUUAAUCAUGUGAACAGACAAAAACAAAAGUAAAAGUGUUGGGUUGAUUCCCAACAAGCGCUUUUCUAUAAUGCCUUUUAGCUAGGCAUGAUGAUUGCUAUGAUGCUCACAUAAGAAUAGUAUUUGAAACAUGCAAGAGAGCAUCAUUAAUCACAUGGAAAGCACAUUUAAGUCUAACCCACUUCCUAUGCAUAGUUAGAUUUAAAGAAAACAAUUUAUUAUAGAAAGAAUCAACUUGCAUAGGAAGGCAAAACAAGAAUGACUUCAAAACUUUGAACACAUAGGGAGGAAACUUGAUAUUAUUGCAAUACCUACAAGCAUAUGUUCCUACCUCCUAAUAAUUUUCAGUAGCAUAAUGAAUGAAUUCAACAAUAUAAAUAUCACAUAAAGCAUUAUUUUCAUGAUGCAGAAGCAUAUAAUUUUUAUUAAUACCCACACAAAUAAAAUUCUUAUCAUUCAUAGUACUCGGAGCAAACUCAACAAAAUAACUAUCAUGAGAUACUUGAUUGAUAUAAUCUAUGUGAAAAUGGAAAUCAUGAUGACAAGUUUCAUGGUUUUUAUUACUCUUUAUAACAUACAUGUCAUCACCAUAAUCAUCACGGAUAGCAACUUUGUUGUCAUAGUCAAUUGAAGCCUCUUCCAAAAUAGUGGACUCGUCACUAAAUAAAGUCAUGACCUCUCCAAAUUCACUUUUAUCAUUAUGAAAAAAUUCAAAACCCUCCAAAAUAGUGGGAUCAUUAGUACAUUGAGUUGACACUCUUCCAAAACCACUUUCAUCAAUAUAUUCAUCAUAAAUAGGAGGCAUGCUUUCAUCAUAAUAAAUUUUCUCAUCAAAACUUGGGGGACUAAAAAUAUCAUCUUCAUCAAACAUAGCAUCUCCAAGCUUGUGGCUUUGCAUAUCAUUAGCAUCAUGGAUAUUCAGAGAAUUCAUACCAACAAUAUUUCUAUCAUGCUCAUUAAUCAAGGGUUUUAUGCCAAACAUUUUAUUGAAUUCCUCUUCUAUCAGUUGAGCACAAUUUUGAUUUCCAUGAUUUUCAUGGAAGACGUUAUAAAGAUAAACAAUAUGGGACCACCUCAAUUUCAAUUUUUGUAAGUUUCUUUUUAUAAACCAAACUAGUGAAAAACAAGAAACUAAAAUAUUUAACUGCAAGAGCUAAAUAUAUACCUUCAAGCAUUCACCUCCCUAGCAACGGCACCAGAAAAGAGCUUGAUGUCUACAACACAACUUGUUCUUGUUGACUCGUGUUGGGCCUCCAAGCGUAGAGUUUUCUAGGAUAGUAGAAAAUUCCCCUCAAGUGGAUGACCUAAGGUUUAUCAAUCCGUGGGAGGCGUAGGAUGCAUAUGGUCUCUCUCAAACAACCUUGCAACCAAAUAACAGAGUCUCUUGUGUCCCCAACAUACCCAAUACGAUGGUAAAUUAUAUAGGUCCACUAGUUCAGCGAAGAGAUGGUCAUACAAGUGUAAUAUGGAUGGUAGAAAUACAUUUUUAUAAUAUGAAUAAUAUAAAAACAGGAAGGUAGAAAGUAACGAAAGUGAGCACAAACGGUAUUGCAAUGCUUGAAAAUGGGGCCUAUGGUCCAUACUUUCGCUAGUGCAAUCUCUCAACCAUGCUAGUAAAUCGGAUCACAUAACAUUUUCUUGACGUGCAGUAAAGAAUCACCCCAAAGUUCCUAUCUAGCAGAGAACAUAAGAAUAAAUUGUUUGUAGGGUAAGAAACCACCUCAAAUUUAUUCUUUCUGAUCAAUCUUUCCAAGAGUUUGUACUAAAAAACAAGUUAUCCUUUCUGAUCGAUCUAUCAAACAGUUCGUACUAAAAUAACACCAUAACAUAUUCAUAUUCAUAAUACUCACUCCAAAACAAAGAACCUCAAAGACUGCCCCAAGAUUUCUACGAGAGAAACAAAUGGGAGAAUGUACAUCAACCCCUAUGCAUAGAUUACCCCAAUGUCACCUUGGGAAUCUGCGAGUUGAGUGCCAAAACAUAUAUCAAGUGAAUCAGUAUGAUACCCCAUUGUCACCACGGGUAUUCACAGAAAUAAAUAAAUCAAGUGCUAUCAAAUCCAUAAAAGUAUUCAGUCCUAUAAAACAAAAUCUCAAAGGGAAAACUCAAUUCAUCACAACAAGAUAGAGAGGGAGAAACACCAUGGGAUGCAACUAUAUUAAUAAAGCACGCGAUACAUGAAGGUCGUGCCAUCUCAAGAACAUGAGAGAGAGAGAGAGAUUAAACACAUAGCUACUGGUACAAACCCUCAGCCACGAGGGUGGACUACUCCCUCCUCAUCAUGGUUACCAUAAGGAUGUUGAAAAUGGCCUCGAGUGAUGAUCUCCCCCUCCAGCAGGGUGCUGGAACGGGCUCCCGGUUAGUUUUUCAUGUCUACAGAGGCUUGCGGCAGCGGAACUCCUCAUCUCGGGUUAUUUCUGGAGGUUUCUAUAUUUAUAGGAUUUUUGGGCAUUGGAAUCACACCAAGAUGGGCCAUGAGGUGCCCACUACCCACCAGGGCACGCUAGGGGGUAGGGGCGCCCUGGUGCCUAAUGGGCCCCACAGGCCUCCCCUCGUGUGCUUCCUUGACCGUGUGGAUGUCUUUUGGGGAAAAAAUCUCCACAACAUUUCCUGACAUUUGGACUCCAUUUGAUAUUGAUUUUCUGCAAAGUAAAAAACAAGCAAAAAAUAGCAACUGGCACUGGGCACUAUGUCAAUAGGUUAGUCCCAAAAAUGAUAUAAAGUUGUAAAACAUCCAAGAAUGAUAAUAUAAUAGCAUGGAACAAUAAAAAAGUAUAUAUACAUUGGAGAUGUAUCAAAAGUUGGUGACGUAUUGUGUUAUUUUGCAUAAUAUGAUCGUCGAGGAUGAGGGUGCUGGUGUAGCUCAAACCAAUAAUUUUGAAGAACCCGGAGAACAAGUUGAAAUCCGAGAAGAUCAAGAUCCAGUUCAACUUAUGAACUUUCUGUAGAUGCAUCGUAAUCUCCGAGGUCAUCGCAUGCAUGUGAAACUACUCAAUGAUCUGGUGGAGCAUAUGUUGACCCAUAAUGGAAAUUAAAGAGCACAUGAUUGAUUGUGCACUUCAAAUAAAGUUUAUGUAAACACUAUUUAUGUUCGGUAUCGACAUUUGUUAUUUAUGUGUGACAUUGGUUUGUGUGAUCGACGUGCAUGAUUUUGCAUGGAUUUGAGAGUCUAGAUAUGAGAUAUGUGGAUGCGAGGAGCGAAAUAUGAGGGGUCGUUCGGAUGCGUCCGUAGGCGUGCUCGGGCGAGCCCACGGACAUAUAGGGGCCAUAUUUUCUCAGUCUGUCUCUAGAUGCUCUAAGUUAAGUAUGAUCUAGGUUGCUUUCAUACUUUCUUCACAUCUGAUCAUUUUCCUACUUCAAGCCCAACUGCCGAUAGGGGUUAACCACCUACUACAGGAGGGCCUCAACGGUAGGCUUGACAACAUACAUCGACGAAUAUCAUGGGUUGUUAACGUGGAUUAUUACCUUACCGCUAGCCUCUCUCAUGGUAGGUUGUCAACACCCCCUCCCCUCCCCGACCCCGCAAAAAAAUGUCGCACGAUACUACAACCUACCGCCAAGAAACUACAUGGUACGGUUCAACUCUAGCAUAUACGUACUGUUUCAUAUAAAAAACAUUUCUUGUCGGUAGGGUACUACACUGUACCGCCACGACAUGGCUGUAAGGUUGAGCCCCGAGCAAAGAGUGAAUUGUUUCCUUUAAAUAUUGUUUUUAGUACUUUUUAUUACCCUACCAACAGGGACCUUGGCGGUAGGGUACUUUCCUUUGAAAGCAGGGAAAUAUUUUUAAAUGAUUUUAGUCACAAAAUAGAAAGAUAAUUUGCUUGUCCAUUUAAAAAAUGAUAUAGAUCAUAUCAUUUCCUAUCUAACAUAAUAAUACGUAGCAUCACAUGGUUCAACGUAGUUCCAACAAACAUAGAAAAUAGUUUCACAUGUCCAACAUAGAAAAUAGUUUAGCAUAUCAACAAUAGGAAGUACUUCAACAUAGCCGACAAGUUCUCAUUCAGCUCAACACAUAGCAAAUAAUUUUACAUGACCAUCUCCCUUAUCAUUCCUACCCCUCUUGGCGGUAGCUCCUCGUUUCUUGUAGCGGAUCUCUUGUGUUGUUGUUUGGCGAUGAGGACGAUCUUUCAGAAAUGAUGAUGGACUCUUACAAUGCUUGCAAGGUUGAUGUUCCCUUUUCUCCUAGGUUGGACAAGUGGGUAGAGGUAUGUUAUCCUCAUAGUGCUUUUCCUCGUUGCCCUCCUUCUCAUCCUCCUCAAUUAUCUCACAUUGCUCUUCAUCCUCUUCUUCCUCGGCCCGCUCAACAUGGAGAGACGACGAGGUGGCAUGGGUAGAGGAAGUUGCGCUGGCAUGGCUCGAGGAAGCGACGAUAUGUCCACUAGCAUAUGUUGAUGGCACAGGAUGAUACACAUCAACUGAGCUAGCGCACCCAACCAUGCCCACUAGCUUUCGACAAUGAUUCAUGGACUUGGGCGACAACAAAAAGGGUUGACAAAGUUGAUGGUUACUUCAAGAUUAUGGCUAUACUCAAGCUUACUUUCGUCGCUUCCCUCAACGCGUCCGAUUAGGGGAUCCCGGGUGUGCACACUAGCGUGUUCGAGUCCUCGAAGAUGUUUCUAUUCAGCUCUAAACUCUACAAAUUUAAGCAUCGUAAAUAAAUUGGUGACAAAGACUAUACAAAUGUCAUCCCCAACCAAUUGAGUAGAAUUUACCACUCUGUUAAUAAGGGGGUGCAUACUCCCUAAAUUCACCUUGGCUCUCUCCAAUGUUGGCAUUAUAUGCUUCAUCCUCGGCGUUGUCCUCCUCUAGUGAUGUGAUAUCUUCUGCCGUCCACUAUGGCCUCACACACGAAUGGUACUUUCCACCAUCAUCAAACCACUUUAGAUGUCGCUCAUACGCCUCCCAGCUCACCACUCACUACUGGAAAAACAUAAUUUGCCGACAGCUUUUAGCUUUGCCGUCAGCAAUUUCACGGGGCUGAUGGCAUAGAGACUUUUCCCUUAGCCACACAAAAUGUUGAUUAUAUAGACGUGGCUGACAGCAUAGAAAAUCUAUGUCGUCCGCUUUAUCUAAGCCGUGAGCCAGCUGACGGCAAAGGACCAAAAGACUGACGACAUAGGGCGGCUAACGACAUAGGGAGCUAACCCGGUCCCACGUUCUACCAGUGCUUAACGGGAGCCGUCUUUGCCGACAACCAGCUGAGGGCAAAGACUAACACUACUGGAAUUCCUAUAUUUGCCGUCUGCCAAAUCUUUGCCAUCAGCCAGCAGACGGCGAAGAACCUCUUUACCGUGUGUUGGCAAAAAACAGACGGUAAAGAGGAGGCUGAUGGGAAAAUACAUAUUUGCCAUCAGCCACCUCUUUGCCGUCUGUCAACAGACGGCAAAGGUAGGGAUGGCAGACGGCAAAGCUAUCCCACCCACCCCUCCUCUCUCCCCAUCCCACCNNNNNNNNNNNNNNNNNNNNNNNNNNNNNNNNNNNNNNNNNNNNNNNNNNNNNNNNNNNNNNNNNNNNNNNNNNNNNNNNNNNNNNNNNNNNNNNNNNNNNNNNNNNNNNNNNNNNNNNNNNNNNNNNNNNNNNNNNNNNNNNNNNNNNNNNNNNNNNNNNNNNNNNNNNNNNNNNNNNNNNNNNNNNNNNNNNNNNNNNNNNNNNNNNNNNNNNNNNNNNNNNNNNNNNNNNNNNNNNNNNNNNNNNNNNNNNNNNNNNNNNNNNNNNNNNNNNNNNNNNNNNNNNNNNNNNNNNNNNNNNNNNNNNNNNNNNNNNNNNNNNNNNNNNNNNNNNCUCCACCGCCGCCCUCCUCCCCCUACGACCCUCCUCCCCCUGGUAAGUUUCUCUUUUUUUUAAUAGUUUUUGUUUAAUUAGUUCUUACUUUUAGUUUAGUUUUAGUUUCAGUUUUAGUUUAGGUUUAGUUAGGUUAGUUUCAGUUUUAGUUUAGUUAGUUUCAGUUUUAGUUAGGUUAGUUUCAGUUUUAGUUUAGUUUUAGUUUUAGUUUCAGUUUUAGUUUAGGUUUAGUUAGGUUAGUUUCAGUUUUAGUUUAGUUAGUUUCAGUUUUAGUUAGGUUAGUUUCAGUUUUAGUUAGGUUAGUUUCAGUUUUAGUUUAGUUUUAGUUUUAGUUUCAGUUUUAGUUUAGGUUUAGUUAGUUUAGGUUUAGAAGAAGAAGAAGAAGGAGAAAGGAUAUGAAGAAGAAGGAGAAAGGAGAAGAAAAAAAUAAGAAGAAGAAGGAAAAGAAGAAGAAGGAAAAGGAAGGGAAGGAGAAGAACCAAGAAGAAGAAGAAGAAAAAUAGGAGAGGAAGAGAAGAAUAAGAGGAAAAAAGAAAAUAAGAAGAAGAAGAAGAAGAAGAAGAAGAAGAAGAAGAAGAAGAAGAGAAGAAGAAAACAACAAGAAGGAGAAGAAGAAUAAGAGGAAAAAAGAAAAAAUAAAAUAAGAAGAAGAAGAAGAAGAAUAAAUUAGUAGAUUUAGUAGGUAGUUUCUGUUAGUUAAUUAGUAGAUUUAGUAGGUAGUUUAGUGGUAGAUUAGUAGUUUUAGUGGUAGAUUCUGUUAGUUAAUUAGUAGAUUUAGUAGAAGAAAAGAAGAAGAAAAGAAGAAGAUAAGAAUAAGAGAAGAAGAGAAGAAAUAGGCAAAAUGGGCUAAUUAACCCAACAAUGACAUAACCUGAAAAGUAGUAUAGGUAACCUGGAAAGUCCUCUGGACCAAAAGGGCAACUUCUGGACCUGCUUAAUAGAAAGAAUAGGAAGAAGAAGAGGAGAAGAGGAGGAGGAGAAGAAGAAGAAGAAGAAGAAGAAGAGGAGGAGGAGGAGGAGACAAAAAUAAGAAGGAGAAGAAGAAAAGAAGUAGUAUAGGACAAUGACAUAACCCAGCUCAUUAAUAUUAUAUACUUAGCUUGUUUUCCUCUAAAAUGGGAUAAUUAGCCCAUUUAGCUCAAAAAAGACAUAAUUAGGUAAUUUAGCUCCAACAUAAUUAGGUAAUUGUUGUACGAGCUCCGCCCCUGCAUUCGUGGGUCAGUACAAAUUUCAUCUCCUCCCCGCCCCUUCAUUUACUGUGGCUCGGUUUCCGGAUGCAACUUUCUAGAUUUAGGUAAUUCAAUUAAUUUAUCAGUAUGCGUGACGAGUAUGCGUCUCCCGUUCGAGAGGGCGACAUCUAUAAAUAUGCAUGUCUUUGCAUAUUUAUAACCGCCAUCCUUUCGAAUUGUCCAACAUUAUCCAUGGACAGCCCGAGUAUGUGUAGAUUGGGUUCGUUUUCCCGUAUGCUGUGCUCUGGAUCCGAUGCGGAAUUUCGUCAGUGCCUCCCUGUUGUUCUCCGGAUGCACAUCCUCUCUGUUUAUUGCGGAGACGUGUAUCAGGAGAACAGCGGAGAGGUGCUGCCGAAAUUUUGCGUUGGAUCCGAAGCAGAGCAUGGGAAAACGAACCCAAUCUACACAUACUCGGGUGGGAUUAGGACCUAUCUUUACCUAUUAGCGUGUAGGUUGCCUGGACGUAAUAAAAAUGGCGAAAGAUGAAUAUAAAUGCUAAAUUAUAUAUAAAUAUAUUUCUUCUGUCUUUAGUAGCUACGCAAGAUGAGUGAUCGUGCGUGGAUGUAUACCGGUCACCCUAGUCAGAAAGAGAUGACGAAAGAAUGGUUUUUAAAAACAAAGGAAUUUGUGAAAGCCGCAUUCGCAAAUGGCCAGGAAAGAAACUAUUGCCCCUGUCCUGGAUGCGACAACUAUAAAAAGACGACAGAGGCUGUAAUGAUUAAACACCUGCAGAGGAGGGGUUUUAAGCCUAAUUAUACGGUGUGGACAUUUCAUGGUGAGUCUAUACAACGCACAAGAGCUGAGGUGGUCCGUCGUCGCACGGACGAGCAUGGUACUGGGAUCGAAGACAUGGUGCAAGACAUUGAUGAUGCUCGGGAUUCGGAAGAUGAGAUGGAGGAAUCUGCAAAGGCCUUUUAUGAAAUGUUGGAGUCUUCAAAACGUCCUCUCCAUGAGCACACCGAGCUCUGUUAGCUGGAUGCAAUUGCACAAGUAAUGGCUCUGACACUAUUUGGACGUUUCCUACCCAAAGGCCAUGUCAUGCCUGCAAACCUGUACCAGUCAGACAAAAUACUUCGUGUACUUAAGAUGCCCUAUGAGAAGAUAGAUGCAUGUGAGAAAGGAUGUGUCUUAUUUAGGAAGGAGUAUGCACACUUGGACUAUUAUCCCAAUUGCGAGUCUUGCAGGUAUCUUGUGGUAGACAACGGUAUGGGUGAGAAGAGGCAGACCAAAAUCGCAGUUAGUGUUCUUCGGUAUAUGCCAAUCGUACCAAGACUUCAGCGUCUUUUCAUGGUCUUUUUUAUGUUGUACUAAUUUCUUUUAAUCUUUAUCAUGGCAGGUGUUGAAAGAUGGUGGGCGCGGGUCCAGAUCGCUCGACAGGUUCUUCCCAGGCGCCCCGCACGAGGGGUGGUACUUCCAUUCCACCCCUAUCUCUCCGUAGAGCCUUGGCAGACAGUCUUUCGACACCAGCCGUGGGUUCUUCUUCGUCGGCGGCAUUGCUUGCUGGGAGAGGUGCUGGUCGGGUAGGGAAGAAGGGGAAGGGUACAGGGAGAGGUGGUGGCCGCGGAAGAUCCAGGAGGACUGUUGAGCCGUCCUCGCCACCACCACCAGCUCAUUCACCAGAGCAUAGGACUAGUAUGGUCGACCCGUUUGCAGAGGAGGCUACGGGGACUCCGGUCCAGGAGCCUGGUGUUCACGGGCAUUCGUCCCAUGAGACUCCGGUCCAGGAGCAGCCUCGGGUCGAGGUGCACUCGGCCCAGGAGCAGCCGGAGGAGACUACGGUUCCGGAGGCUUCACCCGACGUGGAGAGGUCCGGAUGGGAGCCUUGGCCGGAUCGUACCGAGUUGCCGGAUUGGACCGAGGGUCCGGGUGGCUCAGGGAGCGGGGAUGGCGGGGAUGAGCUUACAGAUAGCGAGGGCGAUGUGCAGGUGGACGGGGCCCCGGCUACCGUGUACAAGCGUGGUAGUACACGUCUCCCGGUCGCCGCGGCUACCCGCGAGCAGAGGCCGGUGAUUAAACCUGAAGGAGAUAGGUAAGUACAUUUACCCUUUUUUUAGCUUUUGCCUUCAAGUUUGUUCAAAUAUCUAAUGCGCUGACCUUAUCAUACUGCAGGGGAUGGGUACAACCUCUUGGAGUCCGCAGGCCGAACUCCGUCCUUGGUGUGCUUUGCCGGACAAAUUUCCCGGGGUUUGUCACGUUGCCUGGUGAGGGUCAGGUUCCUACACUAGGAUUUACCUGGGAGCACUACCAGGCUGCGCAGGCCCUGCCGGAGGAGAUUAUAGAUGGUGUCUUGUGCCACACGAGGGCCGAGAUGGUGAUCAAGAGCUUUUGGGUAAAUUAUCCUUUUACAUAAUCUAAAAUUAACAAUAUAGCUAAUUAUGGUACUAAUCGGUGUUUUCACGUUUGAUUGCAGACCUUCUAUAGGUGUGAGGAUGGAUAUGAGGAGGCGGCGGCCAGGGUUCUCGAGGUCGAGUGUAGGCGGUUACUACAGAACUUGCGCCACGAGGCUCGGCUGCAGGCUAUUCGAGAUUACUACGCCACGCGUGGUAUUAAGAAGCAGAAGAAGGAUUGCCGCGGAAAGUUUCUGAAGAAGGAGCAAUACAUGAAGGUAAUUACCUAUUCUUAAGUCCUUCUACGUAGUUUUCUUGAUUUCAUUCAUAGGCGUAGCGCUGAAAAUUCUUUCUAAUAACUUACAGGUGCCCCCGAGAUGGUGUGCGGAUAAGAUGGAUUGUUGGGAGGCGUUGGUUGAUGAGGGGUGCACAGGCAACUGGCGAGUCGUCCACGAUAAUGCGAAGGAUCGGCGUAGCCAAAUGGUUGGUGUGCCACACCAUCAAGGUAGUGCCAACUUACUUCAGUUUGGACCAAACUGAGUAUGUGAUUUGCUUCAUGAUUCAUGCAAUUCAUUCUUAUGCUAAUAUUUUGUUCCUCUCUUUUAGGCGCAUCACAAUAAGACUGAGAUGCCACACUUGUACGACCUUUAUGGCAUGGCCCAUGCUGCCUCGUACAAGAAGGCGAAGGCAUUCUCUGAGUCUGACCUGGAUGAUCCCAGUAACUUCACCAACAUAUCAUCCCACCAGAAGCUCGUGGCAUACAGGGACGCGGGGAAGGCUACGAAAGGGGAUGACUUUAACCCUAGCCAGGAACCUUUGGAUCCAGAGCUGGUGAUGAUAUCUGGUGGCGGGAGGCCCCAUGGCUCGAUAGCCAUUGGAGAUGGGAUAAUACGUUGUCCACUCACUCUUCCGGAGAUCAAGGCGCGCCAGUCGAGCAACUGUCCUGAGAUAACGCGUCAUCCACGGCCAGUCGAACUUGCCAUCGAGGUUAGUUGUACGGACUAAGAACACUUUCAUCCAUUUCAUUAUGUGUGUCACCAUAGAUCAUUAAUGUGGUAACGAGGAAUGGUUUUUCAGGCUGCUCUUCAGAAAGAGAGAGCGGCAAACCAGACUGCUCUUGAGAAAGAGAGAUUGGCAAGCCAGGCUGCUCUUCAGGCUGCUCUUGAUGAGAGGGACCAGAGCACGACACGAUUGCUUGAGGAGGAGAGGGCCCGGAAUGAGGCGGGUCAACGGGCCGUGUACGAGCUUUUUGUGGUAUGUUUUUUUUCACGUUAGCCAAAUCAUGUGUGUAAUGUCUGUUUCAAUACUAACUAAUACGACCCACUCUUCAGGGUCUGUGCGAGAAGAGCGNNNNNNNNNNNNNNNNNNNNNNNNNNNNNAGGGCCCUCCGCCGAUGCCCGUCUUCUCUUCGAUUGGCACGGUGAGUUUCAUUAUAAACUAGUAUUAAUAAUUGAGUGUCAUCAUGCUAACUGAGACAUUGCAAAAUAUCUUUUCUGCAGAAUAACUCCCGAGCGGCAUCGCACGACCCUUCUCCAGGGCAACCGUCUCCAAACGAAGCCGGCGCGAGCAACCGUGGUGUUUCUCCUCCUUGAUGACCACUACGGUAAGUUUCUCCUCCAAACUUAGCUUGUUUUCCUCUAAAAUGAGAUAAUUAGCCAAUUUAGCUCCAAGAAGACAUAAUUAGGUAAUUUAGGUCAAAAAAUACAUAAUUAGGUAAUUUAGUUCAAAAAAGACAUAAAGAGGAGGAGGAGGAGGAGGAGGAGAAGGCCAAGGACCUUCUAUCCUUCUCCUCCUCCUCCUCCUUCUUCUUGAUUUCUUCUUCUUCUCCUCCUCCUCCUCUUUCUUCUCCUCUUUCAUAUUAUCCUUGCUUUAAUUAACCCAACAAUGACAUAAUUAGCCCAUUUAGCUCCAAAAUACCAUAAUAAGCUCAAAAUGGCAUAAGGACCUUGGUUAGCUCAUGAAUAUUAUAUACUUAGCUUGUUUUUCUCUAAAAUGACAUAAUUAGCCCAUUUAGCUCCAAAAUACCAUAAUAAGCUCAAAAUGGCAUAAGGACCUUGGUUAGCUCAUGAAUAUUAUAUACUUAGCUUGUUUUUCUCUAAAAUGACAUAAUUAGCCCAUUUAGCUCAAAAAAGACAUAAUUAGGUAAUUUAGCUCCAACAAGAGGAGAAAAGGAGAAGAAAUAGGCAAAAUGAAAAGAAAGAAGAAGAAGAGAUGAAGAAGAAGAGAAGAAGGAGGAGGAGGAGGAGGAGGAGGAGGAGGAGGAGGAGGAGAAGGCCAAGGACCUUCUAUCCUUCUCCUCCUCCUCCUCCUUCUUGAUUUCUUCUUCUUCUCCUCCUCCUCCUCUUUNNNNNNNNNNNNNNNNNNNNNNNNNNNNNNNNNNNNNNNNNNNNNNNNNNNNNNNNNNNNNNNNNNNNNNNNNNNNNNNNNNNNNNNNNNNNNNNNNNNNNNNNNNNNNNNNNNNNNNNNNNNNNNNNNNNNNNNNNNNNNNNNNNNNNNNNNNNNNNNNNNNNNNNNNNNNNNNNNNNNNNNNNNNNNNNNNNNNNNNNNNNNNNNNNNNNNNNNNNNNNNNNNNNNNNNNNNNNNNNNNNNNNNNNNNNNNNNNNNNNNNNNNNNNNNNNNNNNNNNNNNNNNNNNNNNNNNNNNNNNNNNNNNNNNNNNNNNNNNNNNNNNNNNNNNNNNNNNNNNNNNNNNNNNNNNNNNNNNNNNNNNNNNNNNNNNNNNNNNNNNNNNNNNNNNNNNNNNNNNNNNNNNNNNNNNNNNNNNNNNNNNNNNNNNNNNNNNNNNNNNNNNNNNNNNNNNNNNNNNNNNNNNNNNNNNNNNNNNNNNNNNNNNNNNNNNNNNNNNNNNNNNNNNNNNNNNNNNNNNNNNNNNNNNNNNNNNNNNNNNNNNNNNNNNNNNNNNNNNNNNNNNNNNNNNNNNNNNNNNNNNNNNNNNNNNNNNNNNNNNNNNNNNNNNNNNNNNNNNNNNNNNNNNNNNNNNNNNNNNNNNNNNNNNNNNNNNNNNNNNNNNNNNNNNNNNNNNNNNNNNNNNNNNNNNNNNNNNNNNNNNNNNNNNNNNNNNNNNNNNNNNNNNNNNNNNNNNNNNNNNNNNNNNNNNNNNNNNNNNNNNNNNNNNNNNNNNNNNNNNNNNNNNNNNNNNNNNNNNNNNNNNNNNNNNNNNNNNNNNNNNNNNNNNNNNNNNNNNNNNNNNNNNNNNNNNNNNNNNNNNNNNNNNNNNNNNNNNNNNNNNNNNNNNNNNNNNNNNNNNNNNNNNNNNNNNNNNNNNNNNNNNNNNNNNNNNNNNNNNNNNNNNNNNNNNNNNNNNNNNNNNNNNNNNNNNNNNNNNNNNNNNNNNNNNNNNNNNNNNNNNNNNNNNNNNNNNNNNNNNNNNNNNNNNNNNNNNNNNNNNNNNNNNNNNNNNNNNNNNNNNNNNNNNNNNNNNNNNNNNNNNNNNNNNNNNNNNNNNNNNNNNNNNNNNNNNNNNNNNNNNNNNNNNNNNNNNNNNNNNNNNNNNNNNNNNNNNNNNNNNNNNNNNNNNNNNNNNNNNNNNNNNNNNNNNNNNNNNNNNNNNNNNNNNNNNNNNNNNNNNNNNNNNNNNNNNNNNNNNNNNNNNNNNNNNNNNNNNNNNNNNNNNNNNNNNNNNNNNNNNNNNNNNNNNNNNNNNNNNNNNNNNNNNNNNNNNNNNNNNNNNNNNNNNNNNNNNNNNNNNNNNNNNNNNNNNNNNNNNNNNNNNNNNNNNNNNNNNNNNNNNNNNNNNNNNNNNNNNNNNNNNNNNNNNNNNNNNNNNNNNNNNNNNNNNNNNNNNNNNNNNNNNNNNNNNNNNNNNNNNNNNNNNNNNNNNNNNNNNNNNNNNNNNNNNNNNNNNNNNNNNNNNNNNNNNNNNNNNNNNNNNNNNNNNNNNNNNNNNNNNNNNNNNNNNNNNNNNNNNNNNNNNNNNNNNNNNNNNNNNNNNNNNNNNNNNNNNNNNNNNNNNNNNNNNNNNNNNNNNNNNNNNNNNNNNNNNNNNNNNNNNNNNNNNNNNNNNNNNNNNNNNNNNNNNNNNNNNNNNNNNNNNNNNNNNNNNNNNNNNNNNNNNNNNNNNNNNNNNNNNNNNNNNNNNNNNNNNNNNNNNNNNNNNNNNNNNNNNNNNNNNNNNNNNNNNNNNNNNNNNNNNNNNNNNNNNNNNNNNNNNNNNNNNNNNNNNNNNNNNNNNNNNNNNNNNNNNNNNNNNNNNNUCCAACAAGAGGAGAAGAGGAGAAGAAAUAGGCAAAAUGAAAAGAAAGAAGAAGAAGAGAUGAAGAAGAAGAGAAGGAGGAGGAGGAGGAGGAGGAGGAGGAGGAGGAGGAGGAGAAGGCCAAGGACCUUCUAUCCUUCUCCUCCUCCUUCUUCUUCUCCUCCUCCUCCUUCUUCUUGAUUUAUUCUUCUUCUCCUCCUCCUCCUCUUUCUUCUCCUCUUUCAUAUUAUCCUUGCUUUAAUUAACCCAACAAUGACAUAAUUAGCCCAUUUAGCUCCAAAAUACCAUAAUAAGCUCAAAAUGGCACAAGAACCUUGGUUAGCUCAUGAAUAUUAUAUACUUAGCUUGUUUUUCUCUAAAAUGACAUAAUUAGCCCAUGUAGCGCAAAAAAGACAUAAUUAGGUAAUUUAGCUCCAACAAGAGGAGAAGAGGAGAAGAAAUAGGCAAAAUGAAAAGAAAGAAGAAGAAGAGAUGAAGAAGAAGAGAAGAAGGAGGAGGAGGAGGAGAAGGCCAAGGACCUUCUAUCCUUCUCCUCCUCCUCCUUCUCCUCCUUCUUGUUGAUUUCUUAUUCUUCUCCUCCUCCUCCUCUUUCUUCUCCUCUUUCAUAUUAUCCUUGCUUUAAUUAACCCAACAAUGACAUAAUUAGCCCAUUUAGCUCCAAAAUACCAUAAUAAGCUCAAAAUGGCAUAAGAACCUUGGUUAGCUCAUGAAUAUUAUAUACUUAGCUUGUUUUCCUCUAAAAUGACAUAAUUGGAAUAUUUAGCUCAAAAAGAAGGAGAAGGAAGAAGAAGAAGAAGAAGAAGAGAGGAAGAAUAGAAGGAGAAGGAGAAGAAUAAGGAGGAGGAGGAGAAGAAGAAGAAGGAGGAGGAGAAGAAGAGAAGAAGAAGGAGAAGGAGGAGAAGAAGAAGGAGAAAGAGAAGGAGCCCUCCUUCUUCUCCUUCUUCUUCUCUCCUUCUUCUCCUCCUUCUUCUCCUUCUUCUUCUCUUCUUUUUUCUUCUUCUCCUCCUCCUUCUCCUUCUCCUUCCCCUUCCCCUCCUCCUCCUCCUCCUUCUUGUUUUUCUUCUCCUUGUUCUCUUAUUGCUUAUUCUCUUUCUUCUUCAAUUUAGCUUAUUUGUCAUAUAUAUGUUGUUGUUCUUCUUCUACUUACUUUCUUAUUCCCAUUUUGCAGAUUGGAUGUACUACAUGCAUGGAAGCUGGCGUUGGAGUGCUUUAGUUUCCGUUUUUAUUUGAGUUGAUGAACAAUGUGUUGGUUCUUUGUAUGUGUUGAUGAACAAUGUGUUGAUGAACAAUAUAUGUGCAACUAUAUGUAUGUAUAUAUGGAUGAAACUUCGUAUGUGUUGGUUCUUUUGAUAUAUGGGAUGUACAUUGAUGAACAAAUGGCAUUGAUGAGCUUUAUAUGUAUAUCAUAUAUGUGUUGUGAUCUAUUUAUGAUAUAUGUGCUCUGAAUUAUAUGUAUAUGUGAUGUGAAAUAGAAAAAAUAAAUAAAAAUGGGACAAUAUAGGAUCUUUGCCGUCUGCCAGCUGAUGGCAAAGGCCUUUGCCAUCAGCCAGCAGACGGCAAAGGUGCCACGUGGCGCCUAGCUGUGCAACCUGGGCAGUAGCAGCUGGCCAUAUAGUCUCUUUGCCGUCUGCCAGUUGGGUGGGCAGACGGCAAAGAAGAGGGCACAGAGGAGGGGGCAGAAGACAAAAGUGGAGAGAGGGGGGAGGGGAGGACAUGGCAGAUGGCAAAGAUAGUCAAGGGGGCAGACGACAAAGAUGGAGGGGGGAGGGGAGGGGAGGAGAAGGCGGACGGCAAAGCUUGACUGGGAGGCAGACGGCAAAGAUUGCCGAGGAGGCAGACGACAAAGGCUCCGUUAACCCCUAACGGAGGCAACGCCUCUCGGCUGCCGUCCCAAACUCUUUGCCGACUGCUCCUCAGGAAAGCUGACGGCAAAGAGCUUUGCCGUCCGCUUUAGGGGGGCAGACGGCAAAGAAGGUCCUAUGCCGUCGUAGGCUGACGCAGAAAAUUUGCCGGCCGUGACAAUCUUUGUCGUGUGUGGUACUGUCUUUGCCGUCCGGGUAUUUGUCUUUGCCGUCUGUGAUGGCAGACGGCAAAGAAGGUGAUUCCUGUAGUGUAACGGUUCUAUUUGCCGACAGUCGGCUGAGGGCAAAGACUAACGGAUGUCUUUGCCAACAGCCGGCUGAGGGCAAAGCCACGUGCCUUAUCCCCAGCCACACAAGGCCCUCUCCCGACCAGCCGCCUCACACCUCGCGAUCCCAUCUGCUCCCGAUCGACCCGCCGCCGUCCUCUCCCCGCGCCGCCUCCGCCCCGCGCCGGCCUCUACCCUGCGCCAGCCCCCGCCCCAUGCCGCCUCCGCCCCGCGCCAGCCCCGCCCUGCCUCCGCCCCGCGCCAGCCCCACACCAGUCACACCCCGACCACCCCGCGCCAGCCCUGCCCCGCGCUAGCCCCGCCGCGCGCGCCACCCCUCCCCCGCGCUCGCCCCGCCGCGCGCCAGCCCCGUCCCGACUCUCCCGUGAGCUCCUCCUCCUUUUUUUUUUCUUUUUUUUAGUUUAUUUUUUCUAUGUUAGUUAGAUCUGUUAGUAGUAGAUUUUUAGUUAAAUUUAGUUAGCAAUUACUUAGUGGUAGAUUUUUGGUGGUAGAUUUUUAGUUAGAUUUAGUUAGCAAUAGAUGUUAGUAGAUGUUAGUAUUAGUUAGCUAGCUAUUAGCAAUAGAAAGAAAAUAAUAAGAAGAAAAGAAAUAGAAGAAGAGAAGAGUAACAAAACUUGAAUAAUAAAUUAUUAAUAAUAGAUGUUAGUAUUAGUUAGCUUAAUUACCGCGAGUGCGUAUUUGUGUUGAUUGAGUGCAUUUAAAUGUGCAGUAGCUUCUCCGCGAGGGUUUGGUUUUCGACGACCUCCCCUGCAUUCGAAAGUGAGCACAUUUGUUAACUCCUCCUCCACCCCCUUUAUUUUGCUCUGGUCCGGCCUUCAUGCUGAUGACACUAUCUAGCUAGGUAUUUUUAGUAUUAAAAUGCAAAGUUGUUGCGUAACCAAUAUGCGUCUCCCGUUCGAAAGGGUUCCUGUUAUAAAUAUGCAUGAAUUUGCAUAUUUAUUACGGUGAUUCUUUCGAAUUGUCCAACGUUAUCCAUGGACAGCCCGAGUAUGUGUAGAUUGGGUCGUUUCCCACGCUUUGCUCUGGAACCCAUGCAGAGUUUCGACAGUGCCUCUUUGUUGUUCUCCGGGUACACAUCCUCUCGGUUAGUUGCCGAGACGUGUAUCAGGGGAACAACGGGGAGGUGCUGCCGAAAUUUUGCGUUGGAUUGAGAGCAGAGCAUGGGGAAAUGAUCCAAUCUACACAUACUCGGGUGAGAUUAGGACCCAUCUUUACCUAGUAGCUGGUAGGUGUGCAUGUCAUGCAUCCCAAUGUAUUAACCAUGAUUAAAAAAUGGCCAUAAUUAAUUUAACAUACUUGAUGACCUGAUAAUUUAUAUUGUUUAUAUGUGGAUACUAUAUAGCUAGCUUGCCAGAAUGACUGAUCGUGAAUGGAUGUACACCAGUCACCAUAGUCAGAGAGAGAUGACCGAUGAAUGGUUGAGCAAAACCUAUGAAUUCGUGGAAACGGCAUUUUCUAAAGGCCAACCAAACACAUGGUGCCCCUGCACUAAGUGCAAGAAUUAUUCGUGACAGACAAAGGAUGUAAUGGGUAAACACCUGCAGAUGCGUGGUUUUACUCCCGGCUAUACCUUGUGGACGUUUCAUGGUGAGUCGGCCCAACAUAACAGAGACGAGGUGUUGCGUCGGCGCACCGAUGAUUAUGGUACAGGGAUUGAAGACACGGUGAAUGACUUUGAUGAUGUUCGGAACAAGGAAGAAGAGAUGGAGGAAUCUGCGAAAGCCUUCUAUGCCAUGUUGGAGUCUUCAAAACGUCCUCUUCACGAGCACACUAAGAUUUCUCAGCUAGAUGCCAUCGCACAAGUAAUGGCUAUGAAAGCCCAAUUCAACAUUGGAAGAGACAUGUUUGAUUCAGUGAUGACCCUAUUUGGGCUCUUUCUACCCGAAGGUCAUAUUAUGCCUUCAAACCUAUAUGAGUCAGACAAAAUCCUUAGUGCACUCAAGAUGCCUAUGAGCAGAUACAUGCUUGUGAGAAAGGAUGUGCCUUAUUUAGGAAAGAGUAUGCGGACGAAACAUAUUGUCCAUUUUGCAAAUCCUCCAGAUAUGUUGAGGUAGAAAACGGUGAAGGUGAGAAGAAGAAAAGCAAAAUCCCAGUGAGUGUCCUACGGUAUCUGCCGAUCCUACCAAGACUUCAACGACUUUACAUGCUCGAAGAAACAGCAAAACAUAUGACAUGGCACAAACAUGGAAUUAGGAAAGAAUUAGUUGAACACGGAGUUCCGAUGUUGGUACACCCUUCAGAUGGUGACGCAUGGAAGGCAUUCGAUAGUAUACAUAAGGAAAAAAGCUAAAGAACCAAGGAAUUGUCGAAUCGCCAUCAACCUCGAUGGGUUCAAUCCUUUUGGUAUGACGGCUACCCAAUAUAGUUGCUGGCCUGUAUUUCUCAUUCCCCUCAAUCUUCCACCAUCAUCCAUUAUGCAAAGAAAGCACAUAUUUCUGACGUUGAUAGUUCCAGGGCCAAACUACUCGGGGAAGAAUAUGAGUGUGUACAUGCAACCGUUGAUGGAUAACUUGAAAGAAGCUUGGGUGAAUGGGGUCAACACAUACGACACAGCUAAGAAAGCGAACUUUCAAAUGUAUGUUUGGUACUGAUACGUCUCCAUCGUAUCUACUUUUCCAAACUCUUUUGCCCUUGCUUUGGACUCUAAUUUGCAUGAUUUGAAUGGAACUAACCUGGACUGAUGUUGUUUUCAACAGAAUUGCCUUGGUGUUGUUUUUGUGCACAAAUGAAAGUUCUCAGAACGUCCUGAAAAUUUACAGAGAAUAUUUCUGGAAAAAUAUGAAAAAUACCUACGCAAAGAUCCACCGGAGGGGAUGGGCCAGUGGGCCACAAGCCCUGUAGCCGCCACCCCCUGGUGGCGGCUAGCAAGCUUCUGGGGCCCACGUGGCUCUGCUGCCCCAAACUCAGCUCUAUAAAUUCACUUUCGUCCCAGAAAAAAUCAAGAGAGAAGAUUUCGUCGCGUUUGCGAUACGGAGGCGCCGCCACAUCCUGUUCUUCAUCUGGAGGGCAGAUCUGGAGUCCAUUUUGGGCUCCGGAGAGGGGAAAUCAUCGCCAUCGUCAUCAUCAACCUUCUUCCCUCUCCAAUUCCAUGAAGCUCUUCAUCGUUCGCGAGUAAUCUAUUUGUAGGCUCGCUGGGCGGUGAUGAGUAGGAUGAGAUCUAUCAUGUAAUCGAGUUAGUUUUGACGGGGAUUGAUCCCUAGUAUCCACCAUGUUCUGAGAUUGAUGUUGCUACUACUUUGCCAUGCUUAAUGCUUGUCACUACGGCCCGAGUGCCAUGAUUUCAGAUCUGAAAUUAUUAUGUUGUCACCAAUAUAUGUUUGUUUUAGAUCCGAUCUUGCAAGUUGUAGUUACCUACUAUGUGUUAUGACCCGACAACCGUGGAGUGACAAUAACCGGAACCACUCCCGGUGAUGACCAUAGUUUGAGGAGUUCAUGUGUUCACCAAGUACUAAUGCGUUGGUCCGGUUCUUUAUUAAAAGGAGAACCUUAAUAUCCCGUAGUUUCCUAUUGGACCCCGCUGCCACGGGAGGGAUGGACAAUAGAUGUCAUGCAAGUUCUUUUCCCUAAGCACGUAUGACGACACACGGAAUGCAUGCCUACAUCACAUUGACGAAUGGGAGCUAGCCACAUAUCUCUCCGUGUUAUAACCGUUGCAUGAUGAAUAUCAUCCAAACAAAUCACCGAUCCAUUGCCUAUGAGUUUGUCCCACUGCUGCUGUUACUUGUUUUGCUCGGCUGCUGUUACUUGUUUUGCUCUGCUGCAGUUUCUACUGUUGCUGCUGCUAUUACUUGCUUGCUCUGUUGUUACUUGCUACUGUUGCUACUUGCUACUGCUGUCACUACUGCUGUUCCUUGCCACUGCUGCUACUCGUUACACUGUUGCUACCUGCUACAAUACUGGUUCACACGACAUUGACGGGAAAGAAUAUUUCCCCUCCACGGGCAACUUCUGGUGCCAUUGAUACAAUCGCUAGGAAUAGUCUGCCGUCAACAGAUCGUUUCUGACACCGUUGUUAUCAUACUACUUUGCUGUUGAUACUUUGCUUGCAGCUACUAAUCUUUCAGGUGUGGUUGAAUCUGACACAUUCAGCUGCUAAUACUUUAGAGUAUCCUCUCACUUCCUGUCCGGCGAACCAACAAAUUUGGGAUGAAUACUCUACCCUCGAAAACUGCCUCGAUCCCACGCGUUGGUGGGUCAUUGCAAGACAAUUUCUAAUUGGUGAGUAAUCGAGAAUAGCAUUUGUCUAGCCAUUGCUAGGGAUUAUGAAUUCUGUGUUGACCCUGAGAUAAUCUCUCUAGUCGAAUCUGAUCCUUUUCACAGUUAUGAGUCUGAGACGGUCGUAGCCCAUCUUGCCAAACUACAUGAUAUAGCCACCCUUUUCACUAAUGAGAAGAUCCGCCACUACUAUAUCCUUAAGUUGUUUCCUGUCUCUCUAAAGGAUGACGCUAAAGCCUGGUUCACCUCUCUUACUCCUGGAUGUGUGAGUAGUCCCCAGGAUAUGGUCUAUUACUUCUGUGAGAAAUAUUUCCCUGCCCAUAAGAAGCAAGCUGCCUUGCAGGAAAUAUACAACUUUGCUCAACGCAAAGAAGAGAGUGUCCCACAAGCUUGGGGGAGGCUCAUCCAGCUACAUAAUGCUUUUCCUGAUCACCCUCUUAAGAAGAACGAGAUACUUGAUAUCUUCUAUAACGGACUUACCGAUGCCUCUAGAGACCACCUAGAUAGUUGUGUUGGUUGUGUUUUUAGGGAACGAACUAUCGAACAAGCUGAGAUCCUUCUGAAUAACAUCUUUAUCAACGAUAAUGCUUGGACUAUUCCUGAACCACCUCCUAAGACAACUCCUAAGAAAAGAGGUAUUCUAUUCCUCAGUCCCGAAGAUAUGCAAGAAGCCAAGAAAUACAUGCAAGAGAAAGGCAUUAGAUCUGAAGAUGUCAAAAAUCUACCACCUAUCGAAGAGAUCCAUGGUCUCGAUAGCCCGAUAAAAGUCGUAGAAGUGAAUUCUCUGCGUAGGUUUGAUGAGAGUGAUAUUCCUUUUGACAAACCUGCUAGCCUAUGCUUUGAUGAAUUUGACAACUUUGUUGCCAAACAACAGAGUUUCAAUGAUUAUGUUAGCAGACAUUUGGAACAAAGUACUCGUAUGCUUAGCCAUUUAAGUGCUUGUGUAGAUAGAAAUGUCAAUGACCUGAAGCUUGUGAGUAAACAUGCCUCUAUGAUUACUACUCAGGUAGAACAAGUACUUAAAGCUCAGAAUGACUUGCUCAAUGAAUUAAAUGACAACUCUGUCAGAGUCAUUACUAGAGGAGGCAAAAUGACUCAGGAAACUUUUUAUCCUCAAGGCCAUCCUAAGAGAAUUGAUCAAGAUUCUCAAGGAAUUAAUGCUGAUACACCCAGUCAUCCUAAGAAGAAGAAGAAGGAUGAUAGAAACCUACAUGCCAGUUCACCAAAUACUGUCACACCUGAAGAACCUAAUGAUAUUUCUGCAUCUGAUGCAGAAACACAAUCUGGUGAUGAACAUGAACCUGGUGACAAUAUGGACAGCGAUGUUCAUAAUAAUGCUCAACCUAGCAAUGAUGAGGAUGUGGAGAUUGAACCUAUGGUUAAUCCUGAUAACCCACAACCUAAGAGAUACGAUAAGAAUGACUUCACUGCUAGGAAGCAUGGUAAAGAAAGGGAGCCAUGGGUUCAGAGACCUAUGCCCUUUCCUCCUAAGCCAUCCAAGAAAAAGGAUGAUGAGGAUUUUGAGCGCUUCGUUGAGAUGAUAAGACCCGUCUUUCUGCAGAUGCAGUUAACUAAUAUGCUCAAAAUGUCUCCAUAUGCCAAGUACAUGAAAGAUAUCGUGACCAAUAAACGGAAGAUACCACAUCUUGAGAUCUCCACCAUGCUUGCCAAUUGCACUUUCAAAGGUGGAACUCCUAAGAAACUUGAUGAUCCCGGAGUGCCCACUAUACCUUGCUCCAUUAAAGGAAACUACGUAAGAACUGCCUUAUGUGACCUUGGAGCCGGUGUUAGUGUUAUUCCGCUCUCUCUUUAUCGUAGACUUGAACUGGAUAAGUUGGCACCCACUGAAAUUUCUCUGCAAAUGGCCGACAAAUCAACUGCUUUCCCUAUCGGCAUUUGCGAGGAUGUGCCUGUUGUGGUUGCUAACACCACUAUCUUAACAGACUUUGUUAUCUUGGAUAUUCCCGAGGACGAUGCCAUGACUGUCAUCCUCAGAAGACCCUUUUUAAACACGGCAGGGGCUGUUAUAGAUUGCAACAAAGGCAAUGUCACUUUCCAUGUCAACGGUAAUGAGCAUACAUUGCACUUUCCGAAGAAACGAUAUCAAGUACAUUGCAUUAAUGCUAUCGAAAAGACAUCAUCGAUUCUUAUUGGGAGCUUUGAAUGCCCUAUUCCUCGUGUCAAGAUGAAGUAUGAUUUGUUUGUUGGGGAGAUACAUAUCCCCAUUGAGGUGACUUACUGGCUAUUAGACAAUUCUCUGUUUCCUCUUGCGAUUCGAAAAGGUUUUGUCAUGAGGAUUUGAUCAACCCCAUUGACGGAUUUCUUUCGAUGACCAUGAAAUGGAUGAAUCAAAGAGUCACAUACCUCUGUUUUGUGCUUUCACUUUCUGUUGCUUAGAAGAAAAAUGAUAGAUUUAGUUUAGUUUUUCCUGUUUUUUGUUUUAGCGCCCCGGAGAAAAAUACCCCGAAAAUAAAAGUUCUCUGAUGGUCCUGAUAAUCUAGUAUGAUUUUUUCUGGAAUAUUUGAAAAAUACUGGGGCUGAGAGCUGGCCUGGGGGCCACACCAGUGGGCCACAAGCCCUGCAGCCGCCGCCCGCCUGGUGGCGGCUAGCAAGCUUGUGGAGCCCACAGGGACCCCCUCCACUCAUUCCAGCUCCUAUCCUCUUCUUCCACCUCCAAAAAAAAAUUGUUUCGCAGCUCAAACUCGUGUUCUUGCUUAUUUGGCUGUGAUUUUCGAUCUCCUUGCUCAAAGCACCAUUCUCCAAACCGUUUUGGGGAAAUUACUCCUUGGUAAGUUACUCCUCCAUUGGUCCAAUUAGUUUUUGCUCUAGUGCUUUAUCCUUCGCGUAUUCUUGCUACCUUGGUGACCCUGUUCUUGAGCUAGAAAUGUUGAUUUUAGUUGGUCCCAAGUAGUUUUAGCGCGUGAUACAGUCUCUAGGCCCUAGUAGGAGUAGUUGCUACGAGUUGGGUUAAUUCUUACUCACUUUUCUUUGGAAGUCUCUAAAAAUUUCAGAAUUUUUCAAAGCUAAAGAAAGGGAAAAGAUGAGGAGGUUCUUGAGAGGCUCUUCAAGCCGUAACCCCAAGGAGGAUGAGAAGAACCACCCCAAGUACGUGGUUCCUCGAGUCACAGAAGUUCGAGCGUGCGAGUGGCCAAGUGAUGAAUUUUUUCGCGCCGCUGGGCUUUAUGAAGACUUUUAUUACUUGGUGGAGAACGCAUGUCUUACCGCAUUCGUUGAAGAUAAGUGCUCACAAUACCUCCUCCUCACCAAUAUUUUCGUUCAAAGCUUCAACUUUUAUCCGAGGAAGAAUCCUCCCAUGGUUGAGUUCAUGUUAUACGACAUCCCCCAGUGCAUGACACUACAGGAUUUUUGCAAUGUAUGCAAAUUACCUUAUGUUGGGGAUAUCCGUGACCCUCGUCCACGGGACUUGGAGGAUUUCAUAGGCACUAUUGCUGUUGGAGAGGAGAGAGGAG